CUCACAGCUGUAACAGCUCAAAGCAGCUUUUAGGAAAUUACAUUCCUUAGCUCUUAGGUGCGGUAACCUUGUUGCAAUGUUACUAUUUUAUAAAGUGAAGUGGCUUGUUAAUUGGGCAAUACUUUUUAAAAUUAUAAUGCCUCAAAGUAGGGUAAAAUUCUAUUAUUAAAAUCCCUAUAGUUGUGAAUGCGUCGUAGCCGUAAGUAAGGAGUUUGCCAAACACUUCGUAAAUGUUACAGCAGUACUUUUGAGAAGUAUUGAAAGUAGCAUGCUCGUGUUCAUACGAAUUGAGAAAGAGAGACCUUUUGCCAUCGAUGAAAUGCUCGGAAGGGUGGUGCCAAUGACAUUGUUGCAAGAAGUAUUCUCUACCAUCUACCUCGAUCGACCCUGCCCUUCUAUCGUCCCACCGAAGCUGCAAUCGAUACAAAUAAAGUUGCUCAAUUAUUUUUCUCUAUUGAUAUUUUGUGGUCGAGGAUAGACCGUUCAUCUUCCCUGGUUGGACACUUAUUACAGAUUAAAUGAAGUCAAAGGGCGAAUAUUUACUAGCUUUUACCAUAGUCAUGUGGGUCCAUAAUGAGAUUCUCAUUAAAGCUUCUGAUCAUCUUGUAUUAUACAUGUCGGAGAAGGUUUAGAAAGAAAAAGAAAAGAAAAGAAACAAACAAACAAACCCAAGUCAUAUGGGAGUUGAAGUUGUCCAAGAUCCGUUUUCCUAUUCAGUAGUCAUAUCGAUUGGGAGUUACUUAUGCAUUUUUUGCAUACGUAGGACACAGAACACCUUGGAGCAUGGCAAGGUCUAAACUCCACUUUAAAAUCAGAAAAUUAAUCAAUUCAAAUCUUGAAUAUCUUGAAAAUUAUUUAAGUGACUUAAAAAUGACGUUAUUCAUACUUUUCUGAAAUGAAAUAUUAGAAGUUCAAGAUAAAUAUUGCGUCAAAUACCUACUCAUUUGCUCUUGUUAAAAUCGAGGAUUUAACACUUUUCAAAGGAAACCAGGGCUUGGAAUUGUUAGCAUUUCCCAUGUUAGCAUGUUUUUCGAAGAAAAAAAGGCGGGGAUCAUCAUAAUUCUGGUCGGAUUUACCUGAAGAUCAUGGCCUCUAUUCCUGACGUAGGCAUAGCUUGGCUUAUAAUUCCUCCUUAGGUCCCCCAAGUGUGGAAUCACUUUCACAUUCUCUCUUGCCAAGUCAAUUGGAGAUUGCCUCCGUCCUUCACUGCAUUCUCUCCAUUCUUCCUCCAGAUAUCCCCAGUUCUCUGGUCCCCUCUCGCUCCCGACUAUGUAACUGAAGCCAGUCUCAUCCUCUAACGCACCACGAAAUCACACACGCGCAGAACGACAUCGCCAAAAUCAAAAGCCAAAACCACCAUGACAUACACUGAGAGAGAGAGAGAGAGAGAGAGAGAGAGAGAGAGAGAGAGAGAGAGAGGAGUGUUUACCAACUUCUCCAGAUGGGGUCGAUGCCGCAUGCAAGUACGUGGCAAGAAGACUUAGGAGGAGAGCGGAGAAGACUAGAGUUUUGCUUUGGCUUUUCAUCUUGUUUUUCCCUUCUUCUCAAAAGGAUUUCGGUGCAAGCGAAUACAAUUACUCAACUAGAACGAGACGCGAUGCCUCAAUCAGUUUGUUUUAGUGAAACCUCCUAACUCCCAUUUAUAUAGGCGUUUCAACUUUGAGUGAACUUCGACCAAAAAAAGAAAAAAAAAAAAACUUUGAGUGAACAGUGCUAUGCACGUGAACAAGGUGGUUCGGUAAAGAUUGUGCGACUACGACAAAUAAUGAAGACGUGAGGAAUCUGUCCACCUGUCUAUCUCGCUUAAUGGUAACUUAAUCUAUAGUCUAAUAGUAGAGAGAGAGAAGUGAUUACCAACUUCUCCAGAUGGGGUCCCAUUCAUAUAUGCAUUUCAACUUCGAGUGAACAGUGCCAUGCACGUGAACAAGGUGGUUCGGUAAAUAUUGUGCGACUACGACUAAUAAUGAAGACGUGAGGAAUCCGUCCAUCUGUCUGUCUUACCUAUCGUUAAUUAAUCUAUAGUCUAACAGUGGAUAAAUAAUCCGUAAUCUAUCACGUGCUAUAAAAAGGUUAUGCAAGUUCUAGAGAAUUCAUUACUGAAAGGGCAUUGAGCCAGCUGAUAAGUCCAAGACGUAAUAAAUAAAAUCAUUAAGAGGGUAGUUAUUUUUUAUAACCUAAGGGCACGGGCGCCUGUCACGACAAAUUUCUCCCAUACAUUUGUGUGAUGAAAAGUGGGCCUUCAGAGCAGUAGGGUGAAAUGUGAGAGAUGCAAAAGGGUUGAUACAAUGUACAAUUGGUUGUAGAAGUAGGGUCGGAAAUUUUAUGCUAGAUUCCGGAGAUGUGUUGAUUAUCAUUUUAAAUUAUCUAUAAAGGAGGCUAGCCUUUGAUGCAUAAACUGGUGGAUAGGUGAUGCUGCUCUCCUAAUAAUUGGUUACGGCAAGCCAAAACCAAUCGUCAGGCUUCCGUGAGAUGUAUGUCUUACUCGAGGACUGAAUGCCAAGCUAAAUAGGGUAAAGUUUAGUCAAUAAUGACUAUACAUGUGUCGCUCCAAGGACUCGAUUAGUAAGACUUUCAUGUUGAACGUAAUCCAUAUGGUAGAUCUUUCCUAAUAACGCGCAGUAGAGGGAUUUCCUAGGUAAUCAAUCGUACUAAGUAGCGUGUUGAAUGCAAGGCUCACGUUGCUAUUUUGAUUAGUGGAUAAAAUACUCCCGUUACUUUCAUGUCGAAUCUAAUCCACAUGUUACAUGAUUCCUAGUGACGUGCAGUAAUGGAACUUGCAAGGUAACCAGUCGAAAUAAGUUGCAUGUUGAAUGCAAGGCUCACGUUGCCAUUUUGACUAGUUUGAUAAAAUAAUUACAUUACUGUCAUAUUGAAUAUAGUCUAUAUGGUAGAUCUUUCCUAGAGACGUGCAGCAGAGGGAUUUGCUAGUUGACCAGCCAAACUAAGUUGCAUGUUGAAUGAAAGGCUCACGUUCCGUUCGCUGGGUCCGCCUAUGUCGGGCCCAGCUAACGCAUAUAUAAAACAAAAAUAAAAGUAACGAAAUGAAUUUUCCAUGUCCUACCCUCUAUCACGCGAGAGAAGUUAUAGUACCCAAGCAUGCCUCACACUCUGAUCAUUAAAGACGCGAAUGAUAGUCAUUAUAUUUUUAGAUACAAUUUUUUGCCACUGUUUUUAUUCUUUAAAAUAAAAAUAUACGUUUGAUAGCAACACAAAAUUUAUAUAUCCAAAAUAUAAAUUUUAUUUGAUAACCACACAAAAUUUCUUCAUACUAAGUGGACGGCAAUGGGAAGAGAUUGGCGAAGGAUGGUGGACGGUGAUAGCAAGAGGUGGCAGUCAGUGGCAACUAGCGAACAGCGGAUGGGUGGUCACCUAGUAGUAACAGCAAGUAAUAAGAAAAGUUUUUAUUUAUCUUUUCCGUUCUAAAUUUAUUUCUAGGCUAAAAAUUUAUUGUAUAAGUAAAAAAAUGAAAUUGUGCUAUUAAACAAAUUUUCAUUCUAAGCCUGUUUUCAAUAACAGAAAAAUAAAUCGGAUCAAAAAUAAAAUAAUUAUCAUGUGCUCCUUAAAUUGCUAGUAAAAUUAAGUUAUUCUAUCUCAAAUGCGAUGUCACGAGAAAUGAGUAUGAAACUCCGAUUCGACGACGAGGGAUAGCCAUCAGCGUAGGUUAUCCCCUUUCGAUCUUUUUAAAAAGAAAUGCCUACAUUUUUUGUUUUAUAUAAAGUUUUCCGUUCACCUUUCUUUUCAUUUCACUUUUAUCCAUCCUAGGAGACUACGAUCCGCACCCGCAAGUGACAAGACACAUAAUAAUAAGACCGCCCCAUUGAUGAAUAACAAAAAAUAAAUAAAAAAUCACGAGAAUGAGAUGGUCCAAUUAUCUACGUGGCAACAUGUAAGCGCUCACUUCAUGCUCCCAAUUUUCAUUGGACAGUUGUGGUUGGCGAAGAAUGCCGCCAUUGAAGCCAAGACAACCAAGAGCGGCCAGGUGAUCGUUUUGUCAUUUGUCAAUGCGUGGCGUUGCACAUUCAUCUGCUUCGUAACAUUCUUUUCUCUUCUCUCUUUUUGGUUGCACCGACUCUAUCAUUUGCUCCGGAUAAGAAUAUUAAAAGCAUCGUAAUCUUCUUACGGUGCUUAUUCGAAUACUAUUACUUUUUUUCAAUCACCUGAUUAUCACAUGGGUAUAAAAUUUUUCACUAAAAUACCGUUUCUCAUGAAUAAUCCUUUCCAUUCAAAUGUGAAAUUUAUAAAUAAAUUAAAGCCCAAUAUAGCAAGAGUACAAAUAAAUGCCAUUGUUUCUUUUCUCUCUUUAAGUGCUUCCACACAUAAACAAUGUUGUUUUCAGUUUAUCUGUCUUUUCAAAUAUCGAUGUUUUUCCUCUCUCAACGCUUUGUCUCUGAAAAUCCUAUGCCCAUAGAUCAUAGGACAAAGCAAAUCAAGCUCUCUUUCCAUUAGGGCUUUGUCUUCUCCUCUGCUCACACACUCACUCUAUGUUUGUGGAGUGAGCUCUUGCUUGUUCAGAUGUCACGCCCUGAACCUCGAGCACGCCAACAUCCCACCAUGGUCAUACAAAUGCGACAUUCCCAAGAUACGUCGCCGACCCAUUCAUUUUAUUACGCAUGCAGAAGCGAAACAAAUCCCUUGGCUACAUUUAACUUGGGAUAGAAAAGCAGGUAAUCAAUCGCAAUACCGAACACUCAUUUACAAACACAAAGGGUUUAAGUACAACAUUGGACUGUCUACAAAAUAGACCAGCUCGACAAAAGGGGAAUUAUCCUAAAACCAACUAGCAGGACACGUUCUCCAAUCCUUAUGAUUUCAUCUCUGCAACUCCUCAAGACCAACUAAAGCUAUCUAGCCGCUCCGUCCACCAGGGACCUGAAAUUGUAAUCCCCAAACUGGGAUGAGACAAUGUCUCAGCAAGUUCAACCCCCUAAACCCCUAUUAGAAAGAAAAUACGCCAAAGGGUGGCCUAGCCACAUCACACAGAGAACUUACCUCGCCUCAAUUCCUUCCUGUAGGUUAGCACAAUUUGUAUCACACAAUCUCAAGUAUUAAUAAUAAUUCAAACAAUUGGAACGCCAUCACUUUCAUAUAAAUCACAGUCACACUUAGCACGCAUUCCAAUUAUUAUUCACUACCACACAAGGGCAUAGCCUACUCGCAGUUCGGCUAUCUUCUAAUAUUAAUGCCAGGCAUCGCCUCUUCCUUUGGAGCGCGGCUUCGUCACUACGUCAACAGCAUUCCCAAAGGAGCAUCGUCUCUCCCCUUAGAGCACGGCUUUGUCACUACGUCGACGGCAUUCCCGAAAGAGCAUCGAUCUAGUCGACCCAGCCUCUACUGCGAUCGACAUCCACCGCGUGGGCAUCCCAUAUAAGGGCAAGUCCGGCUCAAUAGCCCAGGACGAUUCCUCUUAGUUAUCACACAGCCAAAGCAUACUCAGCCCCAGGACACUUUGCAUUUCACUCAAUAUUUCCACUUAAAAUAGUGAUCUCGGCCAUUUUUCUUCAUAUUAAAAAUAUUCCAGAAAUUACUCACGUGUGUGGGGGCAUGCUAAUUUCGAACCAGAAAGCAAAUAUCUCACUUUUUCAAACCCUACUACUUAAUAUAAUCAUUAAAAUCUAAUUUUUGCAUCAAAACCCGACACUUGGGUUUUUAUGAAUAAAAUCCAUAUUUAUCACAAUCAACACUCAAUUUGCCACAUCCAUUCAUCAAAUUCAAAUUCUAAAUGCACAAAGCGAUCAGCACAAAAUUCUGAGAAAAUAAGGUUCCAAAAUAAUUUUCAAAAUUUAUUAAAUAAUUAAAUUUAUUCCGAAAAUUAAUUAAAUAAUAACAUCCCUAUCUUUCAUGAUCCACACUCAAUUUAUAAUAUCCAAUCAUCAAUUUCAAAAUCUGAUUACACAACAACGACCGGCACGAAAUUCUGAGAAUUUAGGGUCCUGACAAAAUUUUCGGAAUUUAAUAAAUAAUUAAAUUUAUUCCGAAAAUAAUUCAAUAAUAAUAUUUUAAUAAUUUCGAAUAAUAUAUUAUUAUUAAAUUAUUUAAUAAUUUCGAAAUAUUUAAAUAACUCAAAAGUAAAUUCCUUUAUGUCAAAUCAAGGCUUAUUCUAAAUAAACCUACUUACCCUUAAUUAAGCACACUUUAAAUUAAAACACCACCUUAAUUUAAUCUAUUCUUAAAUAACCUAAACUAACAACCUCAUAAUACUUAACAUAAACUAAACCUCCCUAAGCAUAAUUAACCCUCUAAGCGAGGUUUAGUGAGCUAAACUCACUGGAAUCACUUUUUGACGAGUCUUCGGCGAAGAGCACGACGAUGCCGACAACAAAUCUACAUGGAGCAACACCAAAGGAGGUCGGGAAGAGACUGGAAACGCUCCUCAAAAAUCUGGAUCUUGCUAGCCGAAGGUUGCUGCUCACGGUCGGAAUGGAGGCGCGCUGGCGGCUACUUGGACGGAGAAGGACCAAUGGAAGCAACUAGGGCUCGGGACGGCAACUAGUGGCGAUAAACGGCGGUGAUGGAGGCUCUGGCGAUGAUGACUAGCUGCUGGCGAGGAGGGACGACGAUGCUGGAGUUUAGGCGGAGGCGGCAAGCGGACGAGCUACUCGGCGGAGCAACGCGCGGGCCUCCUCACGCGGACAGGCGAUGAUCGCGACGGCUCCGGCGAACGGCGACGGUUGCUACGAACGGGCGAAAGGGGGUGGACGAAGGGGGUCGGUUCCGCUGGUUUUCCUUUCAGCUUUUUCCUCCUUCCCUCUCUUUUCCCAAGCUUGAAGAUGAUGGAGACAAUGGGGAAGUGACAUCCCACCUUUUUGGGAUUCAAUCUCCACCCUCCAAGUGUCACCACCCUAGCCAAUCUUGCACCACCCCAUGACAUCACUUGUGAUGUCACAAUCCACUAACUCUAUCCUCCCACAACCUUAGUCCAAUAGGUUCAAUUUCAUUUUCCGCCGGGGCAUAGAAUCUUGUACACUUAAUUCAAUCAAUUCUCAAUCAAUUCCAUCCAAUUGAAGCUGAAUUAAAUUAACCCAAUGUCACAACGCUUCAAUUCAAUUAUUUACUUGACCAUAGAACUAUCUUGAUCUCAAAAAUACCACCAAAAGAGGGCCUGCCAAUUUUCCGAACCAAAUUAACCAUACUCUAAUUAUUAUAUUGAAAAAGCACGGCUUGCAUGAAAAAGUCUUACGGAGAUGAGUCAAUAUUUCUAAAAUGAUUUGUGACACACCCAGACUUCCAAUUUCUGAAUUCGAUCUCAAUUCCACAGUUAAUUUCACUUUGGCACAAUAUUAGCACGGCCUAACCUACCGGGUAGCCUUUAGAAAUUUUCAAGCAUUUGACAUGUGGUUGAUCAUCUCAAGCCAUAAUGUACAUCUUUGAAACAUUGGCGACUUUUGAUUGUCGGGGUAAUCUCCAGGUUUCAAAUACGAGCUGUGGCACCCCUCGACGGCCCCCGAUCUGAUUAGGGUCGCCACAGUUCGCUUACCUUUUACUUUCCUUAUUAACACGUCACUCUGAUACCAUUUCAAGUGUAGCGGGUCCAUACAACUUGGGGGUUUACAUCUUUUAGAAAACCAUUUUAAGUGCAGCACAUCCAACAACUUCCUUCCCUAUAUUCAGAAAAUGAUGCACACCUACUAAACAUCUUAUAUAAGUUAAAGCCGAACACGUUUAUUUUACAUAGAGCAGAUGGACAUAUUUAGUCAAUACAUCAAAAUGCCGUAGUCUUCUAUACUCGGCUACACUUCAAAGGAUGACCGACAUCUUCUCUAACAGUCGAAUACUUAAAGUCCAUUGAUCAGUGUCGGCGUCCAAAAGUUUCCUCCCUUUGUUAUUCUCCUCCUUAGAAUCAUAACCAACCACUUGAUUCAUCUACUGGUAGCAGUUGUAGUAGAGGUAUCUUUUCUAGUUUGAAAUGUUAUUCCCCAAAAGGGGUGAGUACAACCACUCAGCAGGUAAAGGAAUCCAAUAACCACUCAAUGCAUCACACAAAUCAUACAUGCAUUGCGGGCGUUACUUACCUUGAAGCCAGGCGUAUACUAUCAUGCAUCAUCACCACAAUCAUAACACAUACAUGUGUAUCAUCAUGUCAUACUCUUAUCAUCAUCAUCAUGACAUUAUUAUAUCACACACAUGUCAUCAUCAUCAUGACAUCAUCAUAUCACACAUGUCAUCAUCAUCAUGACUUCAUCAUACCAUACACAUAUAUGCAUGUCAUCAUGCCAUAUCAUAUAUCAUCAUCAUAUCACACCAUACAUCAUCAUCACCAUGCAUAUCAUCAUACCAUGGGUGAUCAUCACCAUAUCACAUCAUACAUCAUCAUCAUCAUCAUGCAUAUCAUCAUGCCAUGGGUGAUCAUCAUCAUAUCACAUCAUACAUCAUCAUCAUCAUAUCAUAUCAUACCAUAUCAUAUCAUGCAUGGUUCAAUUUCCACUUUUAACUUUCAAUUUGAUCACCACAUCACCCUUCCUCGGAUCAUCAAUUUCAUCUCAUAUUUUACACUCGCAUCCCAUGCGAGAAAACCUCUGGCAUUCAGCCAUUCCAGGCCACCGGGCAUCCGGCUCCCCCCACAUUCCGGGCAUCUCGCAUCCCAACUGGCAUCACGAGGCAUUCCCCUCGGGCAAAGACCUCCGACAGGGCUUCUGGCAUUUACACUCCCUAGCCGGGCAUCCCGCACCCCAAUCCUGGCAUCGUGAGGCAUUCCCCUCGGGCAAAGACCUCUGACAGGGCUUCCGGAAUUAUGUACCGACAUACCACCAGGCUUCCCCUGGAAUUACGUACCGUAUACCACCGAGCAUCCCGACACUCCCGGGGAAUCUCCGGAAUUACGCCACUAGGCCACCGGGCAUCAUCAUCCACCACAACAACCUCCUCAUUUAACAUUAUUCAUGUUUACCAAUUUCAGUCUUAAUUUAGCAUGGCAUAUGAUGUAUUGGCAAAUCAACAAUCAUGUUCAGCAUUUGAAUUCCCACAUGCAUCUCAAUUCAUUGUCAUGCAUACAUCAAGACCUCAUCAUUCAUACUACAUGGUACAAUUAUUUAUGGAAUAAAAUUUAAUGGAAUUAUGCCAAAUAAAAUAAUCCAUUUUUCAUGUCCUUUUUCAUUUAUUUAAAUUUCAACUUGUGCCAUUUUCAAAAAUAUUAAUUUAAUAUCUAUAUAAUUGUCAAAAAUCAUAAAAAUUAAGGAAAGUGAUAAUCAAGACAAUAGGAUAAUGAUUUCAUGCAAAAUACAUGGCCAAAUAGAAUUUCACCAAAUUUCAUAAUUCACACAAAACAGCAUAUAAUUUUUGGAUGAAAUCAGAAUGCACAGUUUCUGAAGAAAUUCGAUUAAAAUAUCCAUAUGACCUCCAAAAAUUACGAAAUUUUACCGAGUUAUAUCCAAGACAUUCAAGUACAUUUUUCAUGAAGACUUUCAAGUCAUAUUCUUUUUAGAUAAAUUUCUACAGUCUCACGAAGCUUCUGGAUCCAACACCGAAUCGUCCAGUGCAUGCUUCUCCGAAAUACUGAGUUUUCACCUACCUAUUCUUCUUAUUUUCCUCUGAAAUUUGGAUAUGUUCUACAUCAAUAUGUUCUCUACAAGUUUCAUGAAGAGAUCCAAGUAAAAUAUCCAGUGUAUAGUCCUCAUUUAGGUCCAUGAAAUCUCGGGUGUCCUGUAAUACAUCUCCAGAAUUACCGUCUUCAAGAUCUAGUCGAUUUACUAGGUUAUACUUGUUCAUUUCACUUCAAAUUUGAGUCUGCUGUAUUUUAAGAUGUCCCCUACAAAUUUCAUGAAGAAAUCGAAGAGAGAUUCUUAGCACAACUCAACAUGCAACCACAAAUCCAUCAAAAGGUCAGUGAAAUCUUUCCAGAUCUGAGGUCUCUGUAGGAUGAGAGUUUAACCCAUUAAAUCUCUAUCAUUUUACACCAAAUUUUAGUAUGUUAUAUUUUAAGAUGUUAGAUAAAACUUUCAUGAAGAUAUACAAGUCAAAAUCGAACUCUAAACAUGCAUGCAAGCUCUCACAAGUUUCUGACUCAAACAGUUUAUGCGAAAACAUUCCAUAUCUAGCAUCUCCGUAGGAUGAGAGUUUUACCCCUUAAAUCUCCACCAUUUUGUCCCAAAUUUUAGUAUGUUGUAGUUUAAGAUGUUGGAUACAAGUUUUGUGAAGUAAUCAAAGUCAAAAUCCAACUUGAAACAUGCAUGCAAGCCCUCACAAGAUUCUGGUUCAGGCGGAUCUCACGAAAUCAGCAUGCAAAGUCAAGAACAGCCACAUUCUAGCUCCGAUUUUUGCCUUCCCUAUGAUCCGAAACCUACCACAAACAAAUCAUACAUGCAAGGCACACAUGCAAGGGUGGAAAUCAGUCCCAACUUGCCUCAAAGAUCAAGCAGACAGCGACACACGAACGGCACACCGGCAACGGACGAAUGGCAUGUGGGCGGCGACGGGCGAGCUCCUUCCUUUCUCUCUUCCUCUCUUCCUCUCUUUCUCUCUUUCUCUCCUCUCUCUCUUCCUUUUUGGUUGUAUUUAUAUUGCAUGCACCCCUUCUUUGCAUGGGGGACACUUGUCCCUAAGAAGGAGACAAGUGUCUCCCUUGUUGAAGACACUUGGAGGAAGCCAUGCGGCUCCUCCUUCACCCUCCAUGCGCGACAAUGGGCCGGGCUUAUGGCCCACUUUAGGCCCAUCUCACUUGGGCCCUAGGUCCAAACUCAAGUUUAUUUUAUUUUAUUUUUAUAAUAUAUCUUAAUCAUCAUUUAAAUAAAUAUCUAAUUGCAUAAAUAAUAAGGCCAUUAAACUUAUAGUCACAAAUCCAUAAAUUCCAAUUUAUGAUGCACAUGGCCAAUGAUAGAAUUUUCUUUCCUAUCACAUAAUUAUCCCUUAAAAGCUUGGCCAUAUAUCUUAUUGCAAAUUAUGGAUUAAAUGGCCAUAAAAUAACUUGAUGGUACUUCCAUCACCUAUUCAUAGACUUUAAUGUAACUAGAGGUCGUUAAGAAUUUUGGGAUGCCACAUGAACAUAGGGUACCCAAUCGACUGAAAAGUCGGUCCAGUGCCGAUCGACAAGAAUUGUGUGAUCUGGUGGAAUCUCCCACACCUGAUCACAUGCCUCUGUCGAGUCGACCUAUCUCUGAUCUCUAAUCGAUUUUUAAUUGUGCUGUAAUGACCCUUGCAGAUUAGCUCGGUUGAAAGAUCGCUUCCGGGUCAAAUUCUCGAGUCCGAUGCAUUAGAAUUUCUUAACAGCUUCACCUAAUAGACUAGUUUUCACAUGAGUGGCCGACUCAAGGAAAAGAACUAUAUGCGUGCCAACGAAAUGCCCGUCUCAAUUUAUUGAAAAUAGAAUUGGAAAAUCGGGAUGGCACAGUUAUCCUCUUUCGCCAGCAGCCCAAACCCUUUUUGUCUAAACUAUUCUUGUUGGACUUCGCAAGCUACAAUAGCAAAAAUAUGACUUUCAUAUUCGCUUGUUGAUGGAGCCGUGAGCCACUUCUGUUGCUUCUACUGCCCAUUGCAAAUUUGAUGAGAUGAUUUGCCCCAAUGUGAAGUAUUAGGGUUUUGGUUCAAUUAGAGUUCUUGAAGAUCAAAAUUGAAUUUUGCUCCAAUUUUUUUAAGUGAGGCUAGGGUUGUUCAAUCAGAGUCACCAUACUCUUGUGAGGCAUGCUUGGGUACUAUAACUUCUCUUGCGUGAUAGUGGGUAGGACAUGUUUAAAUUAAAUGCCUUGAAUUAGCCUUGGAUGGGAGACAUUUCAUAUUUUAAAGAUUUGCAUGAUCCUAUUGAUGGUGAUAAGGUUAAAGGAGACAAGGAAGACAAAGAAUGGGCAAAUGAAUGAGAAAAUGAUUGGGUUUAUUCAACAAUGAAUUGAUGAUCGUGUUGCCCAAGAAACAAAACCAAUAUUUUGUGGAAAAAAAUUACAAGAUCUCUAUGAGAGGAGAUCUCAUAGAAUAAAGCUUUUUUUUUUCUUUUUAGUUAAAAGACUUGUGAAUUUGAGAUACAAAGAAAGGAUUAGCAUGUCAGAAUAUUUAGGGAUAUUCAAGAUGUUGUAAGUUAAUCAACAAAAUCUUGAGAUUGACCUAAGUGAUGAAUUACAAUCAUGUCUAUUGCUUGGUACUCUUCCAAAAAGUUGGGAUGCUUUGGUUGUGGCAUUAAACAAUCGGACUCCUUUUGGUGUGUCUUCUAUGAGCAUGAUUAAAGAAAACUUUUUCUAUGAAGAAACAGUGCGAAAAUGCUUGAAUUAUACUUAUAAAACGAAGGUUUUGGUCAUAGAAAACUGGGCGAGAAGUCAAUAGAAAAAAUUACAAAUUAAUGAUGAUAUAGGCAUGCCAAGAGGAAGGUCGAAAUUAACACCAAGGAGUGUUAAAUGUUAUGAUUGUGGUAAAAUAGGACAUUAUGCCAAAUAGUACUAGUUGCCAAAGAGAGAUAAAUCCCAUGAUAGAAAUGGAUAUUGAAAUAAAGAAAAGACUAUGUUCAUAUGUGAUGACACUUGUGUGAAUCUUACUUGGCAAGGUUGUAGCUGGGUCGUUGAUUUAGCAACUUUAAUUCAUGUGAUGUCACAGCAUGACUACUUCACUUCGUAUUGCAGCGAUGAUUUCAUUGUGUUAGGAUGAAAAACAGUAGUGUCUCCAAGGUUAUUAGGAUAGGAAAUGUUUAUUUGGAAACCGGUAUUAGAUGUAUAUUGCUUUUGAAAAAUGUAAGACAUGUUCAGAGCAUUCGACUUCACUUUAUCUCCAUUGGUGCCUUAGAUGAUGAUGGUUAUUGCAAUUUCUUUGGUAAUAGCUAAUGGAAAUUGACCAAAGGUUUCAUGAUAAUGGCUAAGGGUAAGAAGCGUGCACUCUCUACACCAUGCAAGCUAAGUUGAUGGGAGUAAAGGUAAAUGCAGUGAAGGACUCCUUAGUUAACCUAUAACUUAUGAAACUCGAUCAUCUUUAUGAGAAGGUGGUUGAAAUUCUUGCUAGAAAAAAAAUUUCUACCAUUAAAUGAGAGAAAUAUCAAGGAAUGUACUCACUAUCUAAUAGGUGAGCAACAAAGAUUAUCAUCCAUAGUUCCUCUCCACACACAACAUUAGAUGUAUUUGAUUUAGUUCACACUGUUGUUUGUUACAUGGAUGCUAGAUCACUUACUGGUACAUUAUACUUUGAAAUAUUUAUUGAUAAUUGCUCUAGAAAAAUAUGGGCUAUUACUUUGAAAUUUAAAGACCAGAUGCUUGUUGCUUUUAACCAAUUUCAUGUUAAUGAAGAAAGAGAAAUUGGGAAAAAAUUGAAAUGUGUUCGACUUGACAAUAGUGGCGAAUAUAGAGACUUAUUUGAACAUUAUUGUAGAGAUCACGGUUUCAAGCUUGAGAAGACAGUUUUGAAAACACCACCACAAAAUAGAGUGGCGGAGAGAAUGAACUAAAUAAUUAAUUAUUUAAUUCAGUGUAGGCUUUCUCAUGCGAGGUUACUAAAAUCAUUAUGAGAUGAAGCAAUGAGAGUAAGAGUGGACUUGAUAAAUCUUUUCCCAUCAUUUUUUCUUGAAAGGGAUGUUUCGCAAAGAGUUUGGAGUGGGAAAGAUAUUUCGUACAAUCAUCUAAAAGUGUUUAGUUGUCAUGCAUCCAUGCAUGUUCCAAACCUGAUGACAAGUCUAAGAAAUGUAUCUUAUGAAGAGUUUGGCUUCAUGUUAUAGGAUCCAACUGUAAAGAAAGUCUUAGAAGCCAAGUUGCAGUAUUCUUUAGACAUCAAACCAAGACAUUGAUAAGUCAAGUUGGCCAAAGAUUGUAGUUCAACAAUCCAUGAGUUUUAGCCCAAAUCCUCCAAGGUAUUAGGUGGAAAUCAUGAGGAAGAAGUAUAUGGGAAUGAUGAAGAUAGCAAAUCUUCACAAAAUGUUAAUUCUUCAGUUGAGACAGGUGAAACAAUUGACCAAGAACAACCCACUGAGCCAAUGGAACCAAUUGAGCAAGAACACUUAAAAAUAAGCCAAUGUCCUACCUCAAGUUAGAAAAUCUACAACUGUGACAUCUCAAAAUUUGACCCCGUUUCGAAUAUAUGAAAUGGUUGGUUUGUCGAUGUGCUUUGGUUAAUUUACUCGAAACUGAUUACUCUUGAGUUAACUAAUCUAUUAGGUGAGGCCGUUAAGGAAUAUAAACACGAUAGAUUGGAGAAUUCGAUCAGAAAUCGAACACUCAACCAUAAUAAUCGACAAAAGUCAAUACGAUGCUGUUAUAAAUCGAUUAGCAAACAAAUAUAGGUUGAUUUGAUGGAAUCAUGUAGUCGAAUUGUUGGUGAUUCCGCACAAUUGCGAUAUUCGUGUCGAACAUCAGUAAACCGAUUUUCUAUCGAUAUUAUACUCAGAACACGUAAUUGAAACCUCAUGAUUUUAUGACAACCGAGAGUCGUCUACAAUUCGGAGAUACACAAACGUGGAUUGACAAUUAUUGACCACGGGUCAAACGCUCUAAAAUCCCUAAAAGCUACCCGAUAGGUUAGGUCGUACUAAAGUCGCGUUCGGUCAAUUUUAACCAUGUAAUUAAAUUCGGUUUCAAGAAUUGGACGUUUGAGCGUGUCACAAUUCAUUUAUAAGAUGUCGUCUCACCUUUCGGCGAAUUUUCUUCAAGUCUGAAAUUUUAAGGAAAAAUGAAUUUCAGACAAAAAAAAUUAAAAAGGGAAAUUCGGAUGGUUGAAAAAUAAGGUUUUUCCACCCUAUUUUGGCUUAUGUUUGAAGAAAUUAGAGCAAAUUCCUAAUUUGGUAGAGCAAUGGACUUUGUGGCAUGAGGACUUUUGUGAUUUGGUGAUGAUGAGAAGAUAUUUCUCCCAAGCUUCUCAUUCGUUAAACCAUGGACUUCUUUGUUUUUCCCUUUUUCUUUCUCUCUCCCUCCCCCUCUCUCUCACACGUGAAAGCUUCCCCCCUUCCUUCUACCGAUUCCUUUUCCUCGGCCCACGUUCCUUUCUCCCCGACCUUUCUGCAUCUCCUUCCUUCUGCCGCCAAUCCUCAUCCAUCCUCAUUCCACCUUCACACCGUCCACUUCCCUUCAUGCCAUCACCACCACCUCCACGCCACAGCUGCAGCACCAUCCACUCGUGUCGUCACUGUCCAGCUCUACUUCCCCUCACGCCACAGCCACCAACUAGCUACCAGCUCACUCCAUCACCUCACCACCGAGUAGCCAAGAUACUGCAGCUUCACCACCUCAGCCAGCAACCACCAGUGGCUUCAGCUCCACCGUCCAGCUACCUUCACUGAGCUGCCCAUCUUCACGCCACAAGAAGGACCAACCCAAGCCAGAACCAGCUCCUCUUGGUCGUGAGCUGGUAGGGCCAUCACGGCCGUCGGUUGAGCUCUAUUUGAGACACGAUUGUCUCGAGUUUUCACCAUUGUCGCGUUGUCGUCGCCGUGAGCCCGCCACCGUUUAAAUCCGGUGAGUUAACUCCCUAAUCCUUGAUUAGGUUGUUAUUUGCACUUAAGGGAUAUUUAGAUUAGUGCUAAUCAUGGUUAGAUUAGUGCUAAGAAGGAUUAGUGUUAAUUAAGUUGGAUUAGUUUAACUUCAGAUCUAUUUACUGGACACUCGCAGUUUGCUAUUUUCGUAGGUUAAAAUAUGCUACAAUUUUAAGGUUGCUUCCCACUUAAAAAAUAUUCUAAACAUCUUUAUUUAUGACAUAUAUUUUACUCAAGAUUUUUGGGAUUUAAAGGAAUGAGAUUUCAACUUUGUCAUGAGCAAGGCAUAAUCUCGGUUUGUACUAGAACCAGUGACCUUUCGGUAUUUAAAUGAUUUUUAUCAACUCUUAGGGUUUGAUUUUCGAAAUAUUUGCUUCACCAAAGUUUUUCCUCACAUCUUGAAGUUUUGCAUAACUAAAUUUUAGAACAAACGGACGAGUUUUGGACCUUAAACCAAACUAAAACAAAAUUUCUGAACAUGGACACAGUUAUUGUAACGAUUUGGGCGAAUUAUUGCUCUUAUUCUAGAAAGAUCUGAGUCAAGGUGGUGUCUUCAUGAAAAGUGUUUGUUUAAGUGUCCUUUAUAACAUAUUUGAAUUUGGGAAUUUUCUGAACUCGUUUGGUUAUAUUUCUAGAAUUAAUCUUGUAGACAUGCGAGUGAACCCGAAUUCUACCGGUAAGGGCCGGUUGUGAUUUUGUGGUUGUUCUUGGUGUCUUGCUUGUUGGGAAGUGCAUAUUAUGUGAUUUGAUUAAUGUUUGGCAUGGUGAGAACUUAUGUGUGAUAUUUUGAGAUUGAUUGCUCUAUGUUGGUUCCGAUUUUUAUUGCAAAAGUUGGCCUUAUGAGCAAUGAAAUAGAAAAACAAUGAGGUGUCGGGUUUGGACACCAAAACUUAUUUGCUCAACAAAACAAUGAGGUUUUAAUCUAGGUGUGUGCAAAGUUUGAUGGAUUAAUUUUGAGUACGAGAGUACCUACAAUUUUCUUUCCAAAAGUUUUAAAGAAAAGAAAAAAGGGAGUUACUAAAGAUUGUUUCCAAAAAGGGUGGUUGGACAAAAAAAUAUAAAAGAAAUAUGGUGUCGGGUUUGGACGCCAAGUUUUACAUGCUCAAUAAACCGUGAGGUUUCAGACUAGAUGUGUGCAAAGUUUGGUGGAUUGAUUUCAAAUACGUGACUCCGUACGAAUUUAUUUCUGAAAGUUUUCAAAAAAAAAAAAAAAGAGUUGCAAGGUUUAUUAUUUGAAAAGGGAUUUUGGUGUUCUUGGCUAAUGAGGAAGAUAACAAUGGACUUGAGUGAUGGUAUGCUCGUGUGAUCACCUAAAUACCUUGAUGCGUAUGAAUAUGCGGGGUAAUGAACCCAUCCUGAUGCAUAUAAAUAUGCGGGAUGAUGCCAGAUUAAGUUCGUAAGCCCCCAUGUCAACAGGAUGCCAAGUCACGGUUGAAGCUGAAUCGAUGCUCUUUUAUGGAAUGUUGUCCUGAGGCGUAUGAGCACGUGGGAUGAUGUCUUGCCCGAUGGGGCAGGACAAUGCCCAGUUACGCCAGAUGACCACUGACUUUCAAGUUGGCCGUGGCCGAUAGGUCGUAAUAAUCGAAACACGCCUGAAUGGUUGUGCUAUUGCACUUGAUUAUGGGGAAAAAUUGUAUGGCACAGUAUGUGACGUGUCAUAAUGGUUUUACCAUAUAAUCAAGACCCAUAUGAUUGUUUAAAGGAUGAGAAUGAUGUGUUCCAAUUAUUAAUUGCGCUUGUGAUAUUUAUAAUGGCAUAUAUGAUGCGCUAAUAUGCAAGGACAUGCCUAGGCGAGGUGAGUUUUGUAUGGUGCGUGUUUAGGACCGCCUUUGAGGUGAAUUUGCGUCCUAAUUGGGGUUUAGGUUGUUGACUCGCUAAGAUUUUAAUUCAUCCCGUCGUGAUUAACAUUUUUCAGAGCCGUGGCGUGGAGAUCUGCUAAUUUUGGAUGUGGUGGGUGCAAGAUGCGACACCUUUUGGCUGGCCUUGUCGCUAGUGAAGUUUAGGUUGAACCUUAGUCCCUGAAGGUUUUUGAGAGGUUGAUAGGAAGUGGCAGUGGAAAGGCUUGUAAGUAUUAAAUUUCCUAGAGUUAACAGUGAAUAAAUAAAUAAGUUAAUUUUGGCAAUGUUUGCCGUGUUUUACUAUCCCUAUGUUUGUUUGGUGGCCGGGUAUUUAUUUAAUUUGUUUUCACAUGUGCUUAAUUGAAAGAUAAAAAUAAUGGGUCGGCGAUGCGUCUUGAGACAUCGCAUUUUUAAUCGACCGCCAAGGGAUGUGCGCGUGCCCAGGGUUCGGGGCGUAACAACAAUAGUAAGUAAACAUUCAUAGAGAUAUUAGUCACAGAGUGUGUAUUACUAUCCAAUGCAAUAGAGUUAGAAAUUUAUGACAAGGCUAUAUCGUGUGAUCAAAAAAAUGAGUGACAUGAAGUCAUGCAAAAGGAGCUUAAAUCCUUCCAUAAGAAUCACAUAUUUGAAUUGAUAAAGUUGCCUAAAAUAAAAGAACACUAAAAAAUAAGUGGGUGUGCAAGUUAAAGACGGAAGAAAACAAUUUGCAACCUUGAUUCAAGGCGAGGUCUAUUGUGAGGGGCUUUCAUCAAAAGAAAGGAAUUGGCUUUAAAGAGAUCAUUUUACCAGUUGUUAAAAUGUCUUAUAUUCGAGUUGUUCUUGGGUUGGAACUAGUUUGGAUUUAGAAAUCAAAUAACUUGAUGUAAAGAUAGUCUUUUCUUUGUCCACUUAAACGAAGAAAUAUAUAUGGAGCAAUAAAAGAGUUUAUAUUUGAAGGGAAUGAGCAUAUUGUAUGUAGAUUGAGGAAAAGCUUAUAUGGUGUCAAGCAAGCACCAAAAUAAUGGUACAUGAAGUUUAAAUUAUUUAUGAAAGAUCAAGGAUACGGUAAGACCAACUAUGAUUCUUGUGUCUUUAUAAAUAGAUUCUUAGAUAAUAAUUUUACUCUAUGUGGAUGAUAUGUUGAUCUUGGGCAUGAUGCCAAGAAAAUCAUGAAUUAAAAAAAUGAAUUGAGUAUAGUUUUUCAAUGAAAGAUUUGGGACUGACUAAGAAACUUUAGGUAUGAGAAUUACUCGUGAAAGGAAAAAUGGGAAAUUUUGAUUAUCUCAAGAGAAGUACAUUCAAACAUUAAUGUGUUGUUUUCGUUUUCGUCACCUUAUUUUGAAAGAUUCUACGGGAGCAAUUGUAAACCUAUAAAUACUUUACUUGCUGGCCAUUUCAAGUUGAGUAGUAAAGGUAUCCUACAAGUGAUAAAGAGAAGAAAGAGAUGAUGAAAAUUCAUUAUACAUUAGCUAUGGGUAAUUUGAUGUAUGUCAUGAUUUGUACAAGACCAGAUAGUGCUCAUACAAUUACUAUUGUGAGCAGGUUUCUCCCAAAUCCAAGUAAAGAGUAUUAGGCUACUAUUAAAUGGAUUUUGAGGUAUCUUAGAGAUAAUUCCAGAUUCUGCUUGUGUUAUGGCAAUGGAAAGUUUUAGUUGUGUGGCUACUCAUAUGCAAACUAUACCAGUUGCAAUCAAAAUUGCAAAAAAGUGUUGUUUUGUCUACAUCUAAAGCAAAGUAUUCACUAUCACCAAAGGAGGAAAUGAACUCUUGUGGAUGUAAAAAUUUCUACGUGAGCUAGCGUUGAAGCAAGACAAGGUUGUUAUGUAUUGUAAUAGCAUGAGUGCUAUCUAUCUUAGCAAAAAUGCAGUGUUAUAUUCAAGAUCGAAGCAUAUUGAUGUGAAUUGUCAUUGGAUCCAAGAGAAAUUUAAAAAGAAACUCUUCCUACUUAGGAAAGUCAACACAAUAAGAAUGGAUUCGAUAUGACGACCAAACUUUAUCCAUAAUGAAACUUGACUCUUGUAGAAACAAAGUAGGCAUGAUGGAACUUCCCAUGUAAGGUGAAUGUGGUGAUUUGUUGGUUGGAUCCGCCUAUAUGGGGCACAGCUAACACAUGAACAAAACAAAAAGAAGAGUAAAAAAAGCAAAAAGAAUAAAUGAAAGCGGGGUUGUGACACCCUAAGAUUUUCCAUUAUGUUUUCAAUAGAAUACAUCAGGCCUUUCAUCAACGCACCUAUAGUGCUCUUCUCAAAGCUAAUCACUCCUGAGAUAACUAGACUAUCUGGGGAAGUCUUUAAGAGAUUUUAAUGCAAUAGAUUUGAGAAUUCGAUCGGGAAUCGACUACUCGACCGUGCUCAUCUGCAGAGAUCAUUACGGCAUAAUUAAAAAUCGAUUAAGGAUUAAAAGAUAGGUCGGUUCGACUGAGAUGUGUGGCUAAACAUGGGUGAUUCCAUCAAAUUGCAAAAUUCUCGUCGAUUGGUACUAGAUUGAUUUUUCUGUCGUUUUGGUACCCUGUGUCUGCAUUCGAAACCUUGAGAAUUUCAUGACCACCGAGAGUCGCCAAUGUGUUGAAGAAGUUCAUUGUGGCUUGAAGAAAAUCGACCAUGGGUCAUUUGCACUAAAUUUUUUUUAAAGCUACCCGGUAAACUAGGUCAUGCUAAAAUCGCACUAGAUUGAAAUUAAUUGCGAAUUUGAAUCUGAUUUCAGAAAUUGAAAGUUUUGUCAUGUCACGAGUCAUUUUAGGAACGUCGACUCAUUCUCCGAAGAUUUUUCUACAAACCAAGAUUUUCGGCAAAAAGUCAAAAUAGGGUCGAGUUUGUUCGGAAAAUUCAAAAGAUUGUUUUUUAUUGCAAAAUUGGGAUGCAAGUAGGUUCUAUUGGUGAGGAAAAAUGUCAAUUUGAUCGAGGACUUGAUGGUGGAAUUUAUGGGAGCCGAAUUGAUUUAAUUCAAGUGGAAAUUUGGUUCAAUUUAGAUGAAGACCCUUCAAAAUUCGUAGCCCCCCAUGCCUCAACUCUUGGACCACCUCCAAGACUUCCUAAGCAAGCUAAGGACCUAGAAAAUUGCUGAGGAAGCCAGCCAAGUGGUGGGGUAUGGUCAAGGGGACAAAGGGAUGAGGACUGAGCCAAGGUGGCCCCCUCCAAAGGAGCUGUCCCUUUCUUCUUCCCCCUUGGUCAGCUUCUCCAUUUCCAGAGCAGAGGAGCUUUAGAAUUUGCAGAGAAAUCGAGCUUCCCUCCUCCCCAAACCAUCAAGCAGCUCGUUGAACCGCUAGAGCCCUACCGCGUUGCCGUCAUGCCCCGCAUGCCACUGCUCGUCCCACUCACGUCCAACCGUCCAUUGCUGGUCCUGCGGUCGGCUCACUAUUAGCACGUUCGUCGUCGUUUAAGUCUCCAGAGCCACCGUCCGCCUCCGCCUUAGCCACUGCAGCCGUUCGCCAACCUCUCGUGUCGUUUCCAGCCCAUUUGGUUGCUCAGCCCAGCCAUUUCGGUCUAAGAAUAAAACCAAAACCUAGUAGGAGGCUGUGGGCUUCGAGGCCUAUUUCCAAGCCUUCCCUGGCCUCAAAAGGUGCCACCGCUUUGGAGUUUAUCGCUCCUCUCCACCUCGCCAUCGCCGUGGUACCGUCAGAUUGCUAGUCCUGUGAGUUUACUCACUAAUCCCCAUUUAUGGAGUUAAUUAUACUUAAGAGUUUAUUAGUUUAGGCUAAGUAUGGUUUAUGUGGUUAGUUAGAAUGGGUUAGCAAUUUAAUCGUUUGAUAUUGCAUGUUAGGUGGUUAGAGUAGUGUAAUUAGCAAGUAGAUAAGUCGUAGUAUUUAUUUAAAUAGGUUCGAAAUUUUUUUCGGGCCCGUUUUGGUAUUUAAUUAGGCUUUUUCCAACCUAAGUGUGCAUUUUUGCUAUUUAUUGGUAUUUAUUAAUUAAUUUUUGUAAUUAUUUAAUUAAUUAUUAAUUUUUGAAAAUUAGACUGGGAUAAUCGGUGAUCAGAAUUUCGUGCUAAUUGCAAUGAUAUGAUUGGUUCAUUUAAUUGAGUGCUGGAUUGUGCAAAUUUAGUGUGAUUUGUAAUUUUGGGAAUUUAUCCCAAAAUUUAGUAAUUUCUAUAUUUAAUUAGAAAAUAACAAGCAUUGGUUUACAAUGCCAAAAAUGUGUUUAUGGAUCACUGAAAUUAGUGGGAUUUUCAAAAAGGAAAAUAUUGUAUUUUGGCUAAGGCCAACCGUGUACCCAUGCAUGAUUAUUUUUAUGAGGAAUGAUAAAAAUGGUGGCAUUCUUAGAUGGUGACAAUAAUAUACUAUAUUAGCCUAUGGGCUUUGAUAUGUUAGCUUAGCGUGAGCAGUAUACUUUAUCAGCUUAGAGUGAGCAUCAUGAGUAUACCAUAUUAGCCUGAGGGCUUUGAUAUGUCAACUUAAAGUAAGCAAUAUACCUUAGCAACUUCUGGUGAGCAUUAUCAGUAUACUAUAUCAGCUUGAGGGCUUUGAUAUGUUAGCUUAGAGUGAGCAGUAUACUUUAUCAGCUUAGAGCGAGCUAUACUAUCUAUCUUCAGCUUAGGGUUAGCAGUCCUUGAUGUGAUCAAACUUUAUAGAUAGUAUUGAAUGGAUUAACCAAGUGAUCUUCUUGAUGACAUGGAAUCGACUGGUUCGAUUGAUCGAUGGCUUGAUCGGAUUAAAUGAUUUCAAUUAUUGAAAUAAUUGGUUGAAUAUGCAAAUUGUACUAACUUGUAGGAAGAAACGGAGGCAAAAAUAAGGCUUCUAACUUGUGCUUGUGCUUAGGCAGCUUUUGGGGCAUAUUUUCUUCCUAGUCGGGACUUAAAGAGCGAACUUGCUAAGAUGUCAUCUCACCCCGUUAUGGGAUAUCAUUUUCAGGUCCCUAGAUGACAGUUGUAAAGGACCUGAAGUCCCGGAGUCUGGGAAGGUGGAGACCGGAGAAUUGGCGAACAUGUCUAACUAGUGGGUCAUAGGAUAGUUCCCUUUUUGUUGAGUUGAUAUUUUUGUAAACAGCUUGGUAUUGUAUAUAAACAUGUGUGUUUAUAAAAGGCUUGUUUUUGUAGUGAAUUGUUGCUCGCUUUUCUAUCACAUCUUGUUGUUGUCUGGGGAUUUAAUUGUUCGCUUCCGCGUGCACAUUAAAAUGAAUGGGUCAGUGAUGCGUCUUGGAACAUCACUAUUUAAUCGACCGCUGAGCGAUGGGCACGUGCUUGGAGGAUUGGGGCGUGACAGGGGCUGCUUGCUCAUGGACUGAAGAAGAGAGGAGAAAGAGAGAAUUCUUUACCAAGAGAUGACAAGGAGAAUAAAAAGGGGGGAGGGGGGCGGCUUUGUGGUCUUGAUUCAAAAACCAAAUGUUAUCAAAAUCGGCUCAAAUUUCAAUAUGUUGGUUGUGAGAUUGAGGGUUACGAGUUGAUCAAUUUCAUUCGUUGAGAUCCUUCUUCAAUUCUCCAAUUGCGAUUAGAGUUUUCUUGCUCCAUAUGUGUUAAUCCACCUCCAUGGUGAUGGAAAUGCUAUUGUAUUAUUGAUGUUGAGACUCUACUACUUGAUUAGAGAAGAACAUUUGUGUAUCCUACUAUUCUUCGUGAUUAGCGAAAUUUUUUGGGCAGUCCAUGGUUUUUCCCAUAUUGGUUUUCCACAUAAAAUCUUAGUGUUGAUGUUGGCUUGGUCUCAUUAUCAUUUCAACAUUAUAUUUACUUAUUUUGAGGUUGUAUUGUUGAGAAAUAAUGCUGAUUGUUGCUGGGUUAAGUCGAUUUUGGUUGGCUUAGUUUUGGGGAAGAUAUUGAUCUGAGAUUGGGUUUAACUCUUGAUGAUUUGUUGCCCAGUUCUCCCAACAUGUUGCGAUUUUGAUUAGUGUCACAAAAUGCUUACAUUACUUUCAUGGUUAAUGUAAUCCAUAUGGUAGAUCUUCCCUAGUGACGUGCACCAGAAGGAUUUGUUAGGUAAUUAAAUAAAAUAAGUUGCACGUUGAAUGCAAGGUUCACAUUGUUACUUCAACUAUUGUCAUAAGGUACUCAUGUUACUUUUAUUGCGCCUAUCCUAGACUAUAAAAGUGACGUGACGGAUCGAUGAUUUGGUGCAACGAACCCACCUAUGAUGCAAGUCAACCCAAGACUCAGAAAAAUAUCAUGUAGAAUUGUGGGCCUAAUGUCAAAAUUCACGAGUUUGGCAAAAUAAAAUGAAAAAUUCCAAGUACUUUGUGGUGCUUAUUACUCGUGUAAAAUGUCCUUCACAUGAUUUUUAUGUCAUGAAACCACCCAACCAUUGACUUUACACAAUUUUAUGCACAGUGUCCUUCUCUCGUUAUCAUCCUCGUGUGUGAAAAUGAUUUAUGAUACAGUAUAGUACUUCAGCAUACAUAAUGCGAAAUUAGAUCAAACGUGGAAGGAAUCUAAAAUUUCGAGUUAAAACCAUGUCUCCUAUUCAAACCAACUUUGGGGGUCAAAGCUCAAGUAAUGUAUAAUGUGCCUUGGAUAUUGCGUAUUUUUGUUUCAAAAAUCAAGUCAAAAGACUUAUAGUUAACGAUAAUAUUAGUUAAAGAAAAGUGAACCGCAUUGAGGCAAAUAAAGGAAAAAUAUUGUACUUUUAUCAAUUCAGUCAUAACCUUUCAAUUUUGUCAAUUCGGUCUUAAACAUUUAAUCGAUAUACCAGUUAAGUCCAUCCGGCCAAUUUUGGGUGGGAGUUGUCGAUGCGGACACCAAGCGUCCCACGUGGCAUGGCCGCUAUUAACGUAGAUGUUUUUUUAUAGUAUUUUUAUUAUUUGUUUGGCUUUUAAAUUUUUUUCUUUCCUUUCCUUUUUUUUUUUCUUGGUAUUUUAGGCUAAGACGAGCAAGGGUCGAUUGGCCACCUCGACUAUGGCCAACAAGAGUUGCCAACCAACCCUCACUGGCCAUAGGCAAGGGCCGUCGACCCUCUCCAACACUGUGUGUGGUCACUGACCCUCAAUCAAAAAAACAAAAACAAAAAGUCAACAAAAUGAAAGAAAAAAAAUAAGAUAAAAAAUUCAAAAAAAAAAUUGCAAUAUUAUUAAAACUAUACACAUUAGUGCCGGCCAUACCACAUAAAAUGGCCAAAGUCCACAUCAGUAAUUUAUAAUCAAAAUUGGUUGAACGGAUUGUCAAAAAGUUUAGAAAUUAAUUAGUAAAAUUAAAAUGUUUAUGACUUAAUUGACAAAAAUACAAUAGGUUUAGGAAUUUUUGAAUAAUUUUCCUUGGUAAACAAACUAAGCUAAAAAGGAGAAAUAAAUUGCAAGUGAAGAAACCACCUCAAGUAAUAAUGCAAUAGUCUUAACAUGAUGACAAUAACAUGUAUAUAAUUUUCGCAAGUAAAAGGAAUGAAGCAAUCAUAAUUAUUAGUAUUCCUAUUGUGUACGAAAUGUUGUAGAAAAGUGUUGGAGAAUGUGAAGUAUAAGAACAAAUAUUUGAGGCGUGUAAGCAUUGUUCUUAAAGAUAAUUCUAUCAUUCGAAGUACAAAUUCAGUUUGUAAGGCUCUAGCAGCUAUCUUCUCAAAAUACAAUAGAUUUUCCUCUAUACUCCAAAUAGAGGAAACAAGAACAACAACAUUAUACGUAAAAAUCAGCUAACGGGUGGAAAUAAAAAAGAGAAUUUCUUAAUUUGGUAAAUUUUUAUUAUGAUUUGUAAAUUCUCUUUAUAGACAAAUACAGGAGAGGGUUAUCAAAGAAAUAAAUGAAAUCAAAUGUUACAAAGUCAUUACAAAUCGAUUGCGUUCAUACUUUUCAUUAAAGCCAUUACAAAAUAAAUGGUUUAAAACUGUUGAAAUUUGCAAUCCCCUACAUAUUUUAAAGAAGGUUUUAAACAGAGACCGGAAUAUUUGGUUAAACUUUGAAUUAUACCAAUUUAAUCCUAAAUUUUUUGACAAAUUGCCAAUUUAGUCAUUUCAACCAAUUUUGGCUAAGAAAUGCUGAAGUGGACAAUUUCUUUAAAACAAAUUUUAUUGAUAUCUUUUUUAUUCACUGAUUAAGCCCUGUCGGCCGUCGCUGGCCUUUGAAGGAGGGCAAGUAUGAACCAAAACAUGAGCUAAGUGGCUAAAAAGGGCAUAGAUUCUUCUCUUUAGAUUAACCAAACUAGGAAUAGUAACCCCACCAAUAAACCAUACACGUCAGCUGAUUUUUGUUCACCUUGUUUACAGCCCCAAGGAAAAAGAUCUCCUGAAUCCUGACUAGAAAUUCUAUAUCUGUUACUAAUUUUAGUUCGCUGGCUUUUAGUUUACCCAAAAGCUGCUUGCUGAGAAAAAUGUGCGGAAGAUAAUGGUUUUAUGAUUUAAGUCAAACGCAAGUGAACAAAAUUACAAAACAAAUUGACGAGAAGUAAUACAAAACACAAGAGAUUUACGUAAUUCUAUUCAAAUAUUGAAGCCUACUCUACGAGCAGAACAAACCACGAAUAAGUCACUAAUUAAUAGGAGAGUUACAAGGUUGUAGUCGCUUGUACACUCAAAUGUUUUGCACUCCUACGUUACCCUCAACCCACAUUGUUUAGCCUCGCGAAAAUAUGUCUCUGUUGGAUGUAGGAUUCUCCAUUCAAAAAUCACCGUGUCCUGAGAGCUCUUGUCGCGGCUAAGAACCCAGAGCUACUCUUUCGCUUUUGUACUUUCUUAUACUGAGCUCCUCUCUUGUUGCAAUUAUGAAAAGGGAGCUCUCCUUGCAGCUAGAGAGCCUGACUAGUGACGUGGGAGCCAUCAUUGUGUAGUUAACAGAAUGAGUCGAAUGAGAACCACCCAAAUGCUUUUUCGUCAUCUUCUCUCGCAUCUCACCAACUCCAAUUUCAGUUGAAAAGGAAGCUCCAAUGCGUGGCCAAAUGAGAGCUGCAAUGUGUGGCCAAAUCCUAAAACACGAAAAGGAACCACAAGGAAAGACAUUUUGGGAUUUCUUUCCUCACAUAGUUGGUGAAGAUAUUCUGACCAACUUUGAUGCCUCUGUCACAAAUUCCGAAAUCGGGUCUAUAUCCUUCAAUGCGGAUCAGGUCUAUAUCCUUCAAUGCGGAUCGGGUCUUGUGCACGGAUUCAAACUUGAGACAUAUAUUCUAGCACCGCCACUACUGUGAAUCUUUGCAGGCAGGCUGCAGCAGUGAGGCUCAUGAGUAAGAGGAACUGGUCCCUGCUUGCUUUGGAUCUACCAGUAACACAUCCUUUAUUUGUCUGCGGUCCAACACUUUAAUAGUGGAGAUUCGUAUUAACCACCUUUUGAAUCAAUCCGUUUACUCCUGUAAAACGAGGAAAACACAAAUAUCUAUGAACUACAAGAAUUCUAGCGUUAAAUAACCUCUUUGCUUUUAGUCCAGUUAUUCAAAAAAUGCAAAAUUUAUUAAUCUUAGAUUUUACCAAAACAACUUUCCUUUUUAAUCGGAAAUCUUAGUUUUCGAAGCUUUGAAUCUCUGCACCCGUAACAAGGGCACGAAUGACCCGAUUGAAAGCAGUCUGUCUGUAUAGAACCAAGGCACGAAUUUUAAGGGCUAAUCAUGACAAAAAAGUUAGGCUUGAGUGAAAGCUUUGAAUCUUUGCUCUAUUUCAACUUGGUUUCACUUCUUUUGAUGCAAAAGAUGAAUCUAAAUCUUUCCGUCGUAAGUACUUAUCAUGCUCUUAUCUCUGUUGCAAUGAUCACCACAGGAUUUUUUUUGUUGCCCGUACCGAAACCACUUCAAGUACUCUAGAGUGGGCAAUGGCUGAGCUGCUUUGCAACUCAGAGAAGCUAUCAAAAGCCCAAACUGAGCUCCAUAAAGUCAUUGGUAAAGGUAACCAAAUGGAGGAAGUCGAUGUACCUCGCUUUCCGUAUGACAAGCUAUCAUAAAAGAAACUUUCCGACUUCACCCACCAUUUCCACUUCUUCUACCACGCAAGUCUGAAGCCGACACACAAAUAGGCGGUUUCACCAUUCCAAAUGGUACACAAGUUCUUAUCAACGCAUGGGCUAUAGGAAGAGAUCCUAGCAUUUGGGUCAAUCCAAAUGAGAUUGUGUGGCAUCCUAGAAUUUCAUGAAAAUCCCUAAGUAUGCCAUGAGCCAUGGAUAGACGAUGUAAACACCGUUAUUGUAUUUUUGUAGCCUUUUGAUCCAUGAUUCGCAAUGAGAAUUAUGGCCAAGCUUUUAAUGGAUAAAUUUUGGGAAAGAAAGUUCUAUCUUUAGCCAUAUAUAUAUUAUAAAUUGGAACUUAUGGAUUUAUGAUUGCAAGUGUAUAGCCAUUUAAUUUGCAAUUUAGUACUUUGACUUAAUAGGGAUUUAGUUAGUUUUUAAAAUGGUCAAUUCUAGAUUUAUUUAAGCUUGGGUCUUAGGCCCAAGAGUGUUGGGCCUAAGAUGGGCCUUAAUGGCCUGCCCAUAAGCCCAUGAAGGGCUGUUGUCGCACGAAGGAGGGGGGGUGGAGUCCGGUUUGCAUGCCUCCCCCCAUUUGUCCCAUGGUGAUGGCCAAGUGUCACCCCAUGCAAAAGGUGAUGAUGGCUAAUGAUAAGGAAAGGAAAUUAGGGGGAAAAGGGUGGCCGGUUUAAGCGAGAGAGAGGGAGAGAGAGAGGAGGGUUCGUCCGAGAGAGAGAGAGAGGAGAGAAAGAGAAGGAAGAAAGGAAGAAAGGAAGAAGGGAAGAAGGAAAGAGGAGGGGCCGUGCAUCGCCAUCCGUCGCCGCCGUGUGCUCACCGUUGCUCGGUCUAGAGGCAAGUGGGAUCCCUUGAUCUACUCUUGCAUGCUAUGCUUAGUGUGUGUGAUCGAAUGGUAAUAAUUUCGGAUGUAUAGAAUGUGAAAAUUUGAAGUUAUAAGAGUGGUGCUCUAGUCUAGUGUACUGUUCUUGAGAAAAACAGCUCGACCUUGGAUGUUCUAGUGACUUGCAUGUGAUGUUCUAGUUGAAUUUUUGCUUUGACCUCUAUAUGAAAUUUGUAAAGGACUUCUUGGAGUAUAACAUACUCAAAUUUGGGACAAAAAAAACAAGUAUAAGUGGGUGAAAUCAUUAUUCUUUGGAAAGACUGGAUCUGGAAAUUUCGGUACUAGAAACAGAAGUUUUAACCGCCUAUAUUUAAUUACCUAGGAUGAAUAUGACUUUGAUUGCUUCAUGAAUUAUUUACCUUAUGGUCUUGGCUAUCACAUAGUCGAAUUUCAUAAUUUUUGAAUGUCAUUUGGGUAUUUAAUCGAAAAUGUUUCUAAAACUGUGCAAUCUGAUGCGUUCGGACUUGGUAAUGUUGCAAUGCGUGGUCUAUACCGUUUUGUAUGAGAUUAUUUUGGAAAAGUGUUCUGCAGUAAACAUCUUUAAUUAUGUCUUGCCUACAACAUAUUCAAAUUUCGUAAUUUUUGAAAUGCAUUUCCCUAUUUAACCAAAAAAAUGUUUCAAAAACUGUGCAAGUGGAACAGACAUAAUUAGUAGUGCUGUGAUGCGUGGUAUGUAUUGAACUAUAUGGGGAUCUUUUGGUGUAGUGUUCUUCAUGAAGUAUCUACCUUUAUGUCUUGACUAUCACUUGUUCGAAUUUCAUAAUUUUUGAAUGUCAUUUGGGUAUUUAAUGAAAAUGCUUUCUAAAACUAUGCUAGCUGGAUUGUGCAAAUUUCAAAAGCUGAAAUUGACCUUGUUGCCAUCACAUCAUGUGCCAUGUUAAUAUUGAGACACAAUUGUGAACCUGAAUUGUGAUAAAUGAGGAUGCCGUCGGAGGUGUGAGCCGACGAUGCCUUGAGAGUUUCGAGAUGCCCAGAAUGUGUGUGCCAGAUGUCCUCGGGAGUUUCGAGAUGCUUGAAGUGUGUGUGCUGGAUGCCCGGAAGUGUGUGCCGGAUGUCCUCGGGAUUUUUGAGAUGCCCAGAGUGUGUGUGCCGGAUGCCCGGAGGUGUGUGCCGGAUGUCCUCGGGAGUUUCGAGAUGCCCGGAGUGUGUGUGCCAGAUGCCUGGAGGUGUGUGCCGAAGGUUCCUCGCGAUGCCAGGUUGGGUGCGAGCGAUAAAAUGUGGGAUGCAAUUACUAGUCCCGGGAAAGAAAAAAUAUGGCGAUCCAAUUGAAAAACAAGAGCUAAAAUUGAAUCAUGCAUAGUGUGGUGACAUGUAUGCUUGGCUGUAUGAUGUAAUAUGUAUAAGUGCAUGGUGGUAUGUGCAUAUGGUAUGGUGACAUGUAUGCAUGGCGGUAUGAUGUAAUAUGUAUAAGUGCAUGGUGGUAUAUGCACAUAGUAUGGUAACAUGUAUGCAUGGCUGUAUGAUGUAACAUGUAUAAGUGCAUGGUGGCAUGUGCAUAUACCACCAAUGCACUUGUACAUAUAACAUCAUAUAGUCAUGCAUACAUGUGACCAUACCAUGUUAGACUGAGGAGGCGGAACAUUGGAUUGAUGGGAUAGAACAUAUUUUCUGGUUGUUAGACUGUAAUGAUGCUAAGAAAAUUGUUUUGGCAGAAUAUCAGCUGGAGGAAAAUGCAAAGUUUUGGUGGAGAGCUUCGAGGAAUACGAUUUUUCCACCAGGUAUUGAUGUGAACUGGGAUGAGUUUGUUAGAGCUUUUAAUAGGAAGCAUUUCUCUGAUUGUGCUAAGGAUAGGAAGAUCACUAAAUUCGUUCAAUUGGAACAAAGAGAGCUGACAGUGGAUCAGUAUGAGGCAAAAUUUUCUGAACUGUCUAGGUAUGCUCCCAGAUUGAUUGAGGAUCGUAAGGAAAAAGCUAAGAGAUUUCUGAAAUGAUUAAGGACUAAUAUUAGAAAACAACUAGUGCCUCUGAAUAUAAUGGAUUAUAAUGAGAUUUAUGAGGAGGCACAGUUGGUGGAGCAAGAGUUAGUGAGGGAGCAAUCAAAAUCUAAGAGGCAGAUGACCUUUAAUGAUAUUCGAAGGGGUAAGAGACCUUAUCCUGAUCAAGGUCAGCCUUGGGAACCUAAAAAAAAGAAUAACUUUGGAAAUUUUAGAAGAGCUUGGAAUGGCUCGACUUUUGGGAGAGUACCCUACCAGGGUAAUUUUUGCUAGAGAUGUGGUAGACAACAUGGGCCAAGACCUUGUAAUAGCCAACUGAGAUGUAAUGGAUGUGGGCAAAUAGGACACUUUAAGAGAAAUUGUCCACGUGAUGGGUCGCAGCCGAAUGUCAACUCGGUGCGACAAGUGCAACAACGUACUGCUGGACCAAACCUACCAAGGAAUCCACAGAGGCCACCAGCACAAGGAAGGGUGUAUGCGGUCACCCAAGAGGAAGCGAAAGCUUCCGAAAAUGUUAUCUUAGGUACGAUUUCGAUAAAGGGAUAAAAAGGUAUAUGCGUUAUUUGAUAUGAGUGGCACGCAUUCAUUUGUGUCCAAAAAUAUAGAUGAUUGUAAGAAAUAAGAACAAAUCUUUAGAUAUGCCUCUUCGUAUUUCUACAUCACUGAAGGACAUGUUGUUAUCUACGCUAGCAUGUGAGAUGAGUGAGUUAACCCUAAGGAAACGAGAUAUGGAGAUGGACUUGGUAGUGAUAGUUAUGUAUAAUUUUGAUGUCAUCGUAAGAAUGAACUAGCUCCGUAAGCAAUGGACUAGGAUGAAUGAUCUCCUGAGAUAGUACUUACCCGUGCGCUAAGGAUAAAACCAUGAGGCUAAGAAUGGGAUAGGCCAAAGCAGAUAAUAUCUCUGUAAGUAAGUCCCUAUCGAAACGAGACCCUCCAAUGGAUGUGUAGUUUGAGUUCGAACCAGGCAAAAACUGGUGUACCUGUAACAACCCGGUUUGAUGAGGGCGGCGAGUGGACGCCGACGUCAGAGGACCUGAACAAGGAGCGGCUCCUAGCAGGCUUCUAGGAUGGCAAAAGGGGGCAUGAAUGAACCGAACUAUGAACUGAACUGGGAAGGCAAUGUUUCUAGGAUAAUUUUAUCAGAGUGGCGUAGCGGAAGCAUGGUUAAGCUUGUAGAACUUUUGUUUGUGGAAAAGAAGGACGGGUUGAUGCGUUUGUGCAUCGAUAAUAGGCAAUUGAAUCAUGUGAUUGUUAAGAGUAAAUACUCAUUACCUAGAAUUGAUGACCUAUUUGACCAAUUGCAAGGAAGUUCAGCCUGUUAAAAAAAAAAAAAAAAUUGACUUGAGGACGUGAUACCAUCAACCGAGGAUUAAGAAAGAAGACAUUCUUAAGACUGCAUUUAGGACUCGCUAUGAACACUAUGAGUUCCUAGUUAUGCUAUUUGGAUUGAGGAAUGCCUUAACCGCAUUCAUGGAUUUAAUUAAUAGGAUAUUUAAGCCUUAUUUGGAUCAAAUUGUGAUUGUCUUCAUUUAAUGAUAUCCUGAUAUAUUCUAAAGGACCUGAAGAGCAUGCGCAACAUCUAAGCAUAGUGCUGCAAAACAAGGCUUAAGAAGUGAAUUAUGGAGAGUAAGUUAUGAAUUUGAGGAUUAAGUUAUGAUCAUUUGAGCUAAGUAGUGACUUCCUAUUAGAGGAUCUCAUUGGAAAUCUUGAUGCAUUACAUGGAGGCAUUUAGUAUGUAUAGAUUGAUCUUGGAAGUCAUGAGUUUGAGUGGUCAUAUGAGAUAUGAAAUUAUUUGUGGUUUAUAUGUCUGAAUAAUAGGUUUAAUUGAUGAUGGUCAACUUUUAAUUUUGGUAAUGAUCUCAGUUUGAAAAGGUUUGGUGGAAUUAGUGGAUAUGAUCAAUUGUGGCUAUAGUCUUUCCAAGGUGAAAAGGUGAAAGUUCAAGUUGUGGAUUUGAUGAGUGAUUAGUCCAAGUGAUGAUCCUUUAGGGGGAGACGUAAGAUAUACUUGAUGGAAACUAGACAAGUUUCAUUUUGGUGGAUUGUCGAUCUUUGAAUUGAAUAAGUCUUGGUGGACUAUCGAUAUUUGAACUGAAUGAAUGGUAUUAUAUUUUAGGCUUGAAUCUAUGUUGCAAUGAAAGCGUAGUGAAUGUCUUUGUUGGACCGAACCAAAUGAGUUAUUGGUGGUGUCGAUUUUGAUGGUUCUAGGCUUGAAUUGAUGGUGACAAAGGAAUAGGAAUAAUUUGGCUAAAUGGUGUGUUAGAUUGAAACCGUUAGAUAUACCAGAAUGGAAAUGGGAUCAUGUGAUGAUGGAUUUCGUGCGAGGAUUACCAAGGACAUUAAGUGGUCAAGACUCUAUCUAGGUGAUAGUAGAUCGCUUGACUAAGUCUACCAAUUUCCUAGCAGUUCGCAUAGAUUAUCCGAUGGAUAAAUUUGCUGAUUAUGUAUAAGCCAAGUGGUACGCUUACAUGGUGUUCCUGUAACAAUCACAUCGAAUCGAUACUCAAGAUUUACUUCCAACCUUUGGCGAAGUUUUCAAACCACCUUAGGGACGAAGUUCCCAAUUUAGUACUGCUUUUCAUCCACAGACGGAUGGACAAACGAAAAGAGUGAUCCAAGCAUUAGAGGACAUGUUAAGAGCUUGCACCCUUGACUUUAAAGGAAGUUGGGAUGAAAAGUUAUACUUGGUAGAAUUUGUGUAUAACAAUAGCUUUCAGAAAAGUGUAGGCAUGGCUGAGGAAGUAUCAGCCAGACCCUGGUCACAUACUCGAUCAUGAAGCUAUUAAAGUGGAUGAGGAAGUGAGGUACAUUGAGGAGCCUGUGCAAGUGCUGGAUUGAAAGGAACAAGUCCUACGAACGAAGAAAAUACCAUUGGUUAAGAUAUUAUGGCGACAUCAUGAUGUGGAGGAAGCCACAUGGGAAAGUAAAAAGGAAAUGAGGGAAAGGUACUCUCACUUAUUUCAAGAGACAUAGGAAAUGACCCAUUUCGAGGACGAAAUUCUCUAAGGAGGGGAGAAUUGUGGCAUCCUAGAAUUUCAUGAAAAUCCCUAAGUAUGCCAUGAGCCAUGGAUAGAAGAUGGAAACACCGUUAUUGUAUUUUUGUAGCCUUUUGAUCCAUGAUUCGCAAUGAGAUUUAUGGCCAAGCUUUUAAUGGAUAAAUUUUGGGAAAGAAAGUUCUAUCUUUGGCUAUAUGUAUUAUAAAUUGGAACUUAUGGAUUUAUGAUUGCAAGUGUAUAGCCAUUUAAUUUGCAAUUUAGUACUUUGAUUUAAUAGGGAUUUAGUUAGUUUUUAAAAGGGUCAAUUCUGGAUUUAUUUAAGCUUGGGUCUUAGGCCCAAGAGUGUUGGGCCUAAGAUGGGCCUUAAUGGCUGACCCAUAAGCCCAUGAAGGGCUGUUGUUGCAAGAAGGAGGGGGGGGGGGAGAGUCCGGUUUACAUGCCUCCCCCCAUUUGUCCCAUGGUGAUGGCCAAGUGUUACCCCAUGGAAAAGGUGAUGAUGGCUAAUGAUCAAGGAAAGGAAUUUAGGGGGGAAAGGGUGGCUGGUUUAAGUGAGAGAGGGGGAGAGAGAGAGGAGAGAAAGAGAAGGAAGAAAGGAAGAAAGGAAGAAGGGAAGAAGGAAGGAGGAGGGGCUGUGCAUCGCCGUCUAUCACCGCUGUGUGCUCGCCGUUGCUCGGUCUAGAGGCAAGUGGGAUCCCUUGAUCUACUCUUACAUGUUGUGCUUAGUGUGUGUGUGAUUGAAUGGUAAUAAUUUUGGAUGUAUAGAAUGUGAAAAUUUGAAGUUAUAAGAGUGGUGCUCUAGUCUAGUGUACUGUUCUUGAGAAAAACAGCUCAACCUUGGAUGUUCUAGUGACUUGCAUGUGAUGUUUUAGUUGAAUUUUGGCUUUGACCUCUAUAUGAAAUUUGUAAAGGACUCAUGGAGUAUAACAUACUCAAAUUUGGGACAAAAAAACAAGUAUAAGUGGGUGAAAUCAUUAUUCUUUGGAAAGACUGGAUCUGGAAAUUUCGGUACUAGAAACAGAAGUUUUAACCGCCUAUAUUUAAUUACCUAGGACGAAUAUGACUUUGAUGCCUGCAUGAAGUAUUUAAAUUAUGGUCUUGGCUAUCACAUAGUAUAAUUUCAUAAUUUUUGAAUGUCAUUUGGGUAUUUAAUCAAAAAUGUUUCUAAAACUAUGCAAUUUGAUGCGUUCGGAUUUGGUAAUGUUGUAAUGCGUGGUCUAUACCGUUUUGUAUGAGAUUAUUUUGGAAAAGUGUUCUGCAUGAAAUAUCUCUAGUUAUGUCUUGCCUAAAAAAUAUUCAAAUUUCGUAAUUUUUGAAGUUCAUUUCCCUAUUUAACCAAAAAAAUGUUUCAAAAACUGUGCAAGUGGAACGGACAAAAUUAGUAGUGCUGUGAUGCGUGGUCUGUAUUGAACUAUAUGGGGAUAUUUUGGUGUUGUGUUCUUCAUGAAGUAUCUGCCUUUAUGUCUUGACUAUCACAUGUUCGAAUUUCAUAAUUUUUGAAUGUCAUUUGGGUAUUUAAUGAAAAUGUUUUCUAAAACUGUGCUAGCUAGAUUGUGCAAAUUUCAAAAGCUGAAAUUGACCUUGUUGCCAUCACAUCAUAUGCCAUGUUAAUAUUGAGACACAAUUGUGAACCUGAAUUGUGAUAAAUGAGGAUGCCGUCGGAGGUGUGAGCCGACGAUACCUUGGGAGUUUCGAGAUGCCCGGAGUGUGUGUGCUGGAUGCACGGAGGUGUGUGCCGGAUGUCCUCAGGAGUUUCGAGAUGCCUGGAGUGUGUCUGCCGGAUGCCCGAAGGUGUGUGCUGGAUAUCCUCGGGAGUUUCGAGAUGCCCGGAGGUGUGUGCCGGAUGUCCUCGGGAGUUUCGAGAUGCCCGGAGUGUGUAUGCCAGAUGCCCGGAGGUGUGUGCUAGAGGUUCCUCAUGAUGCUAGGUUGGGUGCGAGCGAUAAAAUGUGUGAUGCAAUUACUGGUCCUGGGAAAGAAAAAAUGUGGCGAUCCAAUUGAAAAACAAGCGUUGAAAUUGAAUCAUGCAUAGUAUGGUGACCUGUAUGCAUGGCUGUAUGGUGUAAUAUGUAUAAGUGCAUGGUGGUAUGUGCACAUGGUAUGGUGACAUGUAUGCAUGGCUGUAUGAUGUAACAUGUAUAAGUGCAUGGUGGCAUGUGCACAUGGUAUGGUGACAUGUAUACAUGACUGUAUGAUGUUAUAUGUACAAGUUCAUUGGUGGUAUAUGCACAUGACAUGGUGACCUAUAUACAUAUAUAUGGCUGUUUUGAUGUAAUAUGCAUGACUGAAAGGUGAGAUAUGUUUGAUAUGUAUGAACUAUAUGUACUCUAUGAUGCCAUGAUCGUUCUAUUUGAUGCAUUGAGUAGUUUGAUGGAUCUUUUACCUGCCGAGUGGUUGUACUCACUCCUUUUGGGGAUUAACAUUUCAGACUAGAUAAGAUACCUCUGCUGCCACUGCCACCGGUAGAUGGAUCAAGUGGUUGGAUAUGACCACGAGGAGGAGGAUAGCAAAGGCAGGAACUUUUGGACGCCAAUACUGAUCGACGGACUUUAAAUAUAUGAUUGUUGGAGGUGAUGUCAGUCAUCUUUUGAAGUAUAGCCGAGUAUAGAAGACUGCGACAUUUUGAUGUACCGAUGAAUGAUGUCCAUCUGGUUUAAGUAAAUAAAAGUGUUCGGCUUUUACCUAUAAAUGUUUAGUUGGUGUGCAUCGUUUUAUGAAUAUAAGAAAGGGAGUUGAUGGAUGUGCUUCCGCCAUAUAAAUUGCGCAGGGACCAAUCUAAAAGAUGUAAACCCCCAGGAUUGAUAGACCUUUUUGUCAAGCAAGAGAAUGGAAAUCGAACUGUGGCGACCCUAACGGUUCGGGGUCCGUCGAGGGGUGCCACAGUUUGUACCGGAGAGAUUUCUAGGAUCUGACAUAGAUCUUCGGGGAAAAAUUUCGAGCUUGUUCCGUUUGGUGGUGGUAGGCAAAUUUGUCCGGUAUUGCCUUUGGCCACGAGAAUGUUACAUCUGAUGCUAGGUUCGCUAAUUAACUCAUUUAAUUGGAGGCUCAAAGAUGGUGUCCCGCCAGAAAAUAUGAACAUGGAAGACAAGUUCGGGAUCAACAUGCAGAGAACUCAGCCACUAAAAGUCGUGGCCUUACUAGCGUAAAUUGGGGAAAGAUUUAUGUCAUAAAACGUGUACUAAUAAAGAUUCGUCAUAUUAAAACAUUCGGUGCCCAGUUGUUCUUUGCUUGACAUCAUUACGAAUCCAUGGAAACACUAAGAUAUUAUGCUUUUAAACGGUAUAUGUGUAAUUUUGGUGUUGAUGCUCCACUUCAUCAGCAAGUAACUUAGGUAAUGUGACAUCCCAAAUUUUUAAUACUAAUUUCUUCUAAAUAAGUCGGGCAUUUCAUCGACGCACUUAUAGGGCUGUUCUCAAAACUGAUCACUCUCGAGAUAACUAGAAUAUUCAGGGCAGCUAUUAAAGAAUUUUAAGGCGAUUGACUAGAGAAUUCAACCAAGAAUCGAUUUCUUGACUAUGCUCAUCUUUAGAGGCCAUUAUGGCACAGUAUAAAAUCGAUUUGAAAUCAGAGAUAGGUCUUUUUGACUGAGAUGUAUGGUUAAUCGUGGGUGACCCCACUAAAUUGGAAAAUUCUCAUUGAUCGGCCCUAGACUAAUUCUUCUCUUGUUUUGGUACCCUUUGUCCGUAUUUGAAUCAUCGAGAUUUUCACGACAACCGAAGGUCACCAAUGCAUCAAGCGGGUUCAUUGUAGCUCGAAGAAAAUCGACCAUGGGUCAUUUACACUAAAAAUCUCUUAAACCUACCCAAUAGCCUAGGUCACGCUAAAAACGUGUCUGAGUGAAAUUAACCGCGAAUUUGAGUCCAAUUUUAGAAAUUGAAGAUUAUGUCAUGUCACAAUAAAUUCUAGGAAUGUCGACUUAGUCUCAGAAUUUUUUUCUAAAACCCGAGACUUUUUGGGAAAAAGUCAUCACAGGGCCGUUUUUGUGUAGAAAAAAGGGCGGAAUCAUUUUUGGUUGCGAAAUUGGGAUGCAAGAUGAAUCCAUAGGUGAGGAAAAAUAUCAAUUGGAGGAUUGAGGUGUCAAUUGAAUUUGUAAGGGCCAAAUGAUAUUGAAUUGAAGGGAAAACCAAGUCCAAUUAAGAGAGAAUUUUUGCAAAUUCGUAACUCCCCCAUCCACCACCAUUUUGGACCACUUCAAGGUUGUAAAGUGAAGUGUCUUGGUGGCUAAUUGCAGCCAAGGGAUCCUAGCUUGGUGGACAAGUUCAAGGAGACAAACUUGUGGAAAAUGUAGGCAUGUGGCCCCCUAACCUCAUUUCUUCCCUCUCCCUCUCCUCAACCUCAACUGUGUGACAGCCCCUUCCCCAUCUCCAUUGCCACCGUUUGAAGACCAGAAACCCAGCAAGAGAAGCCGCCAUCCACGCUGCACGUUGUCGCCCUCCGCCGGAAAGCCGUCUGCUCGCGCGAGUACCUCCCACGUGCCAUCCAGCCGCCUCUGCUGUGCAUCCCAUCCUCAGUCCAGCAGCUGGUGGAGCUCAACUGAAGCUGUCCUUCGCCAUUCCUCCGCCGGUAAACCCCUGCCAAGGCCCGGUUUGGCCUUUUCACCCUUUCUUGAUCAAUGCCCAUGUUAACCAAGCUUGUUUCCCUUCUGUUUCAGCAAGAAUAGAAUAGAAACUUAGUGGGUUUCCAACAAGGUGUUAGGCCCGUUUUGAGGUGAUUUUGAGCCUCGAAACAUAGGCCCGCUUUGAUGAAAGUCGACCCUUGCGACAUUCCUGUCGGUUUGAUCUCACCCGCUCAUUAAUCAAGUGAGUUUUGCUUACUAGAUCUUGAUUAGUAUGCUAAAGAUGUUUAGGAGUUGAUUAAAUUUAUUUAAAUGCAAUUAGGUGGAUAGAUUAGAUUAUAGUAAUUAUAUUAGAGACUUAUUAAGGCAUGUUAGGCAAAUGGUUAGUGUAGUUAACAAGGAAAUAGGUCCUAGUAUUUAUUAAACGAAUCUUGAAAAUUUUCUUGGUCCGUUUUGGCAUCCAAUUAGGCAUUACGAGCCUAAAUUAGAUUUAUUGUAUUUAAUAAUUUCCGUAAUUAUUUAAUUAAUUAAUUAUUUUCCAAAAAUUAGGCUGAGAUAGUCAACAAUCGGAGUUUUAUGCUGAUUAUCGUGGUGCAAUCUGUUUAUUUAUUUGAGUACUAAAUCGUGCUGAAUUGAUUUAAUUUUGAUUUUAGGAUUUUAUUCAUAAAUUAAUUAAUUUUGAUAAUUGAUUGGAAAUUAAUUGGGCAUCGGUUUACAGCGCCAAAAAUAUGUAAUGGAUUGUUGAAACUAGUGGGAUAUUCGUAAAGAUUAAAUUAUUAUAUUUUGGCUAAGGCCGACUGUGUACCCACACACGGCUAUUUUUAUCGAGUAUGAUAAAAAUGAGAAGUUGACUAAAUGUCUGAAUUGGUAUACUAUAUUGGCCUGGGGGCCCUAAAUUAUUAGCUUUGGGCGAGCAUAUAAAUAGUAUACCAUAUGAUCAGCUUUGGGUGAGCAUGUAUUAUCAGCUUUGGGCAAUCAUAUAUACAAUAUACUAUAUUAUCAGCUUUGGGCAAGCUAUAUUAUCUAUAUUCAGCUUUGGGUGAGCAGUCCUAGACUAAGGUCGAACUUUAUAGAUAGUACUAAAUGUACUGACCGGAGGAAUGUCGUGAUGACAUGCAAUCGAUUAAAUCGAUUGAUCAAUGCUUUGAUAUGAUGCUGUGAAUUGAUGUGGUUCCUGUAUAUUUGAUAUAUACUGUAUUGCAAGAAGGAACUGAGGCCAAGGUAAGUCCUUUGACUCGGGUUGUGCUUAGGCGGCCUCUAGAGUGUAUUGGCUUCCUAAUUGAGUCUUAGGGGGUAGAACUUGUUAAAACCUAGUCUCAUCCCGGUUGUGGGACAACAUUUCAGGUCUCUAGAUGACAGCCCCUCCACCUCCUCGUCCUCCCAUGCAUUUUGGUAUUUCCGAAGAGGUCACCGAGAUAAUGUAUCACUUCCCGAUACACCCCAAUCCUGAAGGAUUAGAAUAUGUUUUAGUAAAAUCAACCGUCUGGGUUGAUGUGGAUAGGGACGACUUGAGGCCCCACGAGUAUCGAUCGUGGUAUCAUCACUACCAUGAUGGAAGAAGAGAGGGUCCAAUAUUGGAAGAUGAUGUGCCUCUGUUCGUCUUAAAGGCAGCGUUUGGAGAAGGGACUGCAGAUCCCAAGGAAGGAGCAAUGAUCGACGCAAAAGAUCCCAAGCUAGGUGAUGAUCCCGACUCGCCAGAGCCAUCAGCAGUAGACUCCAACUUGAGUAUGGAGGAAUGUGAGGUUGUUGAGGAAGAGGAGUACCCAGAGGAGAACUUGGAGGAGGAGCUUGAGGAGGAACCUGAGAAAGAACCUAAAGAGGAGUCAGAGGAGGACCUCGAAGAUAAUUCGGAGUAUGAUCUUGAUGAGGAUUGAGGCUCCACUCCUGUUUAUUGACUUGUUGCUGUCGAACCUGUUUGAAUAGAAACCGACUUUCUAGUGUGGCUUAUAUAUGUAUAUAUAUGAUUGAGUUGUUAUAUAUGUAUAUAAGUGUGUUGGUUUUUAGGUUCGAGUUUUUAGUCCUACUUAUCUAUCUUAUUGCUUUAUUGUCUGGGGAUUAUUAUUAUAGGCUUCCGUAUGCGUAUUAAAAUGAAAGAGUCGGCGAUGUAUCUUGGGACAUCGCUAUUAAUCGACCAAGGUGAGGGAUGGGUGCGUGCCCGAAGAUCGGGGCAUGACAGGUCAUGUAAUCUCUUAUCAGUAACAUGACUAAGCACUCAGAACAUGCAAUAACCCUCUAUUGCUUGUUCCCUUAAACUUGGUAUGUUUAGAAAUCCAAGAGCCUUUGAUUUGUUUAUUGCUGAUAGGACUGGAGAACAAAAAGAACUUGCAGAAGAUGACAAAUUGAUCCUAUGUGUUUUUUAUUUGUCUCGCCCCUAAACUCUAAUAUGUCUAUAGUUCAAGAUGAAAGAAGCAUACUUUUUUCCUUACGUUUUUAAGUGACAAACUUUAUUUGGCGAUUUACUAGCGCACGCCAGAUAACGGUACAUUUACAAAGUGAGCUACCUCCAGAAAACAAUGAACUACAUAGAGAUUAUAAUCUGUCCUACUCAAUUUUUGCAUAUAUACCACAUCAACGGAAAAUUUUAGGUAGCCUCAUGAAUUGGGAUGGUAACGAUUGGGACCCAACCCUUGAUGUACAUAUACGGUCUCGAUUCAAUUUCCUAAUGCAAUAUGACUGAAGGGUGAAAGAAGAUGAGAGGCGAUAAGAGGGUCUGGUGCAUUGGACCAGUUUCUUUGUGUAAUACGGACCAUCUCGAUCUGGCUAAGAGGAGUAAUGAGGCUUCACUGAUUCAAAGAAGUGCCUCAGUGGCUUGACAUGAAAGUAAUGAUGAAAAGAAAAAGUAGAACUAUCUCUAAGUUUCUGGCUUUUUUUCUCAUUUGUUUCCCCUAUUCUUUAGAGUUUUGAUUUAUAACCAAUUUUAUGCAAAUAAGACAAGUAAAACUUAUAUGACACAAGUUGACAGCUCCUUGGUCGCAAAAUACCCUUGCGACACCUGGCAAGUGAAACUCACCAUGCCAACCUUUGUUUAAGAGUUGUUCUAGAGAACAAUAUGGUGAAUAUAUUCCUUAUAUGAGAUUGUACCACGCCUAGCUUAACUUAGAUGUCUAGUUAACCAAGCAUGACAACAUAUCACUUUAGGCUCAACAAUUGGUUUCGACCCACCAUAGUCUCAUUGGGAGAGCAGCAUCAGCUCCUGAUCAAUUUGUGCACAGUCAACCAACCCAGCCUUCAGAACUCUUAAGUAAUAUUGUCCAUCUAUCAUAAAACUCCUACAACCAAUCAUUCUAACGCCACUCCCUUGAACCAAUUGUGAUUAUCCCCUCUGUAUCACUCACUCUUCACCCAAUAACCCCAAACUCCACUCACAAGGGUUCACAAGUAUAGGAAAAUCACAAACCGUGACAUUCUCUCCCACUUAGUUCUGCAAGGCCCUUGUUGUGGGCUGCUCUGUCAUUUCCUUGUGUUUCCUUAAUCAUUGAUGUGCCACUUUGGAUCAUACAUUGAAUAGGAACGCUCACCCAACAAAACAAAUCACUCCAUUGGUAGCUUCUUUUGAUCACAACUGUUUGUGCCCCUUCGGUAACAUGCACUUCUCCAGGCAAGUGUGGCAUUUUUUGCCAACUGCGCCUUUUUGGCAACUCCAUAUUUUGCCUACUAAACCUUUCUUGAUCCCAGCAGACUAAUGGAGGUUUCUUCCCUUGCUGAAAAUGUGGUAGCAGACCUUUCCUUAAGACUUGCCAAUUAAUCCAAUAACGUUUUUUCUAUUCAGUGAGGAAUUGAACCUUUCUUGUGCCCCUAUUGCCAUCCUAGAAGGUCAAGAGCCGCCUUUGCCCGAGUGCCUUUUGCCUCGACAAUUCACUCUUUGCCCACAUAGGACCAGAUAGACCACAAGUUUUCUCCAACUCAACCCCCUUACUGGAGGGAUCUUGCUAUGAUUCCAUCUAUCAUGAGUCAUUAGUUCCUUGGCCACAGAAUAACCCGUGCAUUGUCUAACAAGCGGAAUUCACCAGGCCAACCUUUGCUCAAUAGUUGUUCCUGAAAACAAUUGGACGAAUAGCUUCCUUAUAUAAGAUAGCACCACACCUAGCUUAGUUCGGGCUUCUAGUCUAUCAAAAGAGAUAGUAGAUCACUUUAAGAUCAACAACUAGUUCGGCCUGCCAUGGCCUCAUCAAGAGAGCGGUAUCACCUCCUAACCAGUUUGUGUACGAGAGGCCAAUCCCGCCUUCAGAGCUCCAAAGUAAUAUAAUCCUUCUAUCUUAUAACUCCUAGCAUCAAAUGUCCUAAUGCCACUCUCAAGAACCAAUUGUGUUCAUCCUCUCCAUAUCACUUACUCUUCACUCGAUAGCCACAAACUUCACUCAUAAGGGUUCAUGAGACGGGAGAAUCAUGGACUGUGAUAUUAACUAUUAAACAAAGGCUAACCUGGUGAGUUCUGCUCGCCAAGCACUACACAGGUUAUUUUGUGAUCAAGGAAGUACCAACGCGUGACUCAUAUCACUCAAUGUGAAUAUGAAAAGGAACAAAACUACAUAAUUACUUUGCACCAAAGAAUUGAUUAUCAUGUGUAAUAAAGGAAAUAUUUCAUUGUAGAAAAUCCAGGCAUAUAUGACAAGUUGAAAGAAUAAAUAAGAACAAUUGAAAUUAGAUUUAUGUGACUUAAUCGAUAUAUUCUAAUCAUCAACUAGGAAAAAGCGAUUUAGGUGGGAAAAAUCGUGCACAUAUGUUAACUAAUCUUUAAACGACUAACACUAUCUUAAAUUCAAUAUAAGGUUGAAGUUUAUAAAUUAAGUGAAGAAUGUAGGGAAGUCACAAUUAAAUCGGAUUGAAUCCAUAAAAGGGCCCAACUUUGUGUUCUAUGUGUGAGAAUUUAGUAGGACCACCGCAAAUUAUUCCAAAAGUCAAAUCGUUAGAUGAGGGCAUGGUUAUUAUUUACAUAUUCUAACACACCCCUUAUGGCAUCCUAAUUUUCAACAUUGUCCCGAUAAUAUGAAUUGGGCUUUUCAUGGAUGUGCCAUAGUUUUUUUCUCUGAGCUGAUCGCUUAUGAGAUAACUAAUCUAUCAGGUGAAGCCGUUAAAGAAUAUAAACGCGACUGAUUUGAGAAUUCGAUCAGAAAUUGACUGCUUGACCGUGCUAAUUUGCAAGGGUAAAUACGGCAUUGUUAAAAUCGACUAGAGACUGGAGAUAAGUCGAUUCGACAGAAGCAUGUAAUUAAAGUGUGGGUGAUUCCACCUGAUUGCAAAGUUCUUAUCGAAUGGCACUAAACUGAUUUUUCUGUCGAUUAUGUACCCGGUACCCGUAAUUAAAACCUCGAUAUUUUCACAACAACCAAAAGUUGCCUAUGAGUCGAAGAUGCACAAUGUGGAUUGAAAAUAAUCGACCAUGGAUCAAAAGCGCUAAAAAUUCAGAAAAGUUACUUGGUGGGUUAGGUCACGCUAAAAUCGCGUCUGGUUGAAAUUAACCACGAAAUUGAACCAAUUUUUAGAAAUCGAAAGUUCUAGCGUGUCACGAUUUAUUUUUGGAAUGUCGACUCAUCCUUUGAAGAAUUUUUGGCGAGCCCGGAUUUUCGGUGAAAAAUCAAAAUUGGACAAUUUAAAACCGGGAAAUUCGGAUGACCAUUUUUGGGCGGAAUUUUGGCAUUCAAGAUGGAUCAAAUGGUGAAGGAAAUUAUGGAAAGUGGUGUGGGCUUCCUCCUUAGCAUUUUGGCCAUUGAAUUGAGGUUAAUUGGAGUAAACUUGGUGUGAAAUUGAAGUGGAACACUUGAAAUUCGUAGGCCAUGGGGGUUGCAACAUUUGGGGAUCAAUCCUUAGCUUGUUGGAGAAGGUUGGGAGGGGAAAUGGCUGUGGAUCAAGGCUGAAGACUUUUGGGGCUUUUACUUGAGUGUUUUAGAUCUUUUGGCUUGAAUUUAGAGGCUUCUUGUCCCCCCUUCCAACUACAGCAACACCAUCUUCUUCUUCCUUGCUUCAAUCUCCAUUUCCAGCUCCAACACAAAGCAAACUAGCAACCAGCCCCAUCGAAGCAUCUUUUCGUCACCAUCUCUCCACCGUCCGUCCAAGCCGUCACACGAGCCACUGCCCACCUCCAUUCAUGCUUGUCCCAAGCCCACUCGUUCCAUCAACCCGUGUCUGCUUCACAUCGUCACUACUGUCCCCGUGCCCAUUCGUGUCGUUCCACCAUCCGCCUGGGUCCAGCAGCCGUCCAGCCCAAUUGCCAGCUCUGCAUAUCCCAGCUCCGACCACCCCUGCUCGCCUAGCCGUGCACCUCUCGCCUCCGUUAGCUCGAGCCAACUCACUUCAGCCUCGAACAGAAGCAAAGCUAGGAGCAAACCAUGAGGUUGGUUGGGCUUUUCGGGCCCUUCCAUACUUCCUUUGGUAUCACCAUAGACCUAAGUCUUGCUUGCUUCCACGUUGCCGUCGCUCUGAAUCGGUUCAUUUGCUAAUCCGGUGAGUUAACCUCCUAAACCUUAAUUAUGGGGUUAAUUAUGCUUAGGGAAUGGUUAGUUUAAGCUAAGUGUGAUUAGUGUAAUUAGUUGGCUUGUUUAGUUAAAUUAGAUUAGUUAGUUAGGCCAAUUAGGUGGUUAGUUGAGUUAAUUAGUUAGUUUAGUAGGUUAUGUACAUCUAGCCUAGGUAGAUUAAUUUAGUUAGUACAAUUAGUUGGUUAAAUUAGUGUAUUCAGCUUAACUAGUGCCUUAUUUAAUUAUUUUGCAAUUUAUUUAAUUAUUUUGUAAUUUAUCUAAUUAUUUAUUAAUUAGUGGAAAUUAUAUCGGGAUAGCCGGUUGUUAUAAUUUCGUGCUAAUCAUGUGGUGCAAUUGGUUUGCGCAAUUGAGUGCUAAUUUAUGCAAUUGAUUGAUGAUUGAUGAUUUUUGAUUUAUUAUUUCAAAGUAUGGAAUUUUGGUAUUUAAUUAGAAAAAUAUCGGGUGUCGAUUUUUGACGCCCAAAAUGCUUUUAGGUACAAUAUAAAAUAGUGGGAUUUUUAAAAGAGAGGAUAUCACAUUUUGUGAUUCAAUUUGAUUGUGUACCCACACACAAUUAUUUUACCGGGUGUUUUUAAUAUGAAGAAAAUAGGCCAAGCACAUUAUUUAAAUUUAGACAUUUGAGUGCAAAGCACGAUGUCCUUGGUCGGGAUUGGAUGUGCGUGUAAUUGUUAUGAGAACCCGUCACAAGCUUUUAUUCCAGACAAUGCUCCUUUGGGAAUGCCCCACAUCAACGGAUGCUGGUCGCAAUGGAGGCUGGGCCGAUGCGCAUUCAGGAAUGCCAUCUAGAAGUAGACAUUGCCGUGCUCAAUGGGGCAAGACGAUGCCCGACUAUGUCGGAAGACCGCUGACUGUUGAGUCGAUCGUGGUCAUUGGGUAGUAACUAAUUGGAACGCUUGAUUGAGCGAAUUGACUACGUUUGAUUAUGGGACAAAAUUGUGUGGCACAGAAUGGGAUGUGUCAUAAAGAUUUGGCCUUAUAUGGGACCCUUAUGAUUGAUUGAGAUGUAAGUUGAAGUGUUUCAAUUUUGGAGUACAUUGACCGGAUGCAUAUGUUAUAUAAACUGUACUGAUGUGCAGAGAGGUGCUGAGGUGAGGUAAGUCUCAUUUGACGUAUGCUUAGGCUGCCUUUAGGUGUAUUGUCUUCCUAAUCGGGGUUUAGGGUGUAAACUUGCUAAGACAUUGUCUCACCCCAUCGCGGUUUAAAUUCUUUACAAGUCCCUAGAUGGAGGUGUGCCACAUCCGUUUUGGGUGGCUAUAGGAGGUGAAGACCGAGCAUACCAUCUUCCUUGUCCUCGGGAAUCCUUGGACCUGUGAGCUCGUUGUGACUACAAUCUGGGUCGAUGAGGGCCAACCUCAGUUGGUACCUCAUCGAUUCAAAACUUGGUUUUGUCACGGGCCUAGUGGGGUUCGGGAAGGUCCAGUGGAUUGUUUUGACGGACCUGCCAUCGAAGGUGAGGGUGAGGUGGUACUCAACCCUGUUGUGGAUGCCAAUAUUAUUACAAAUAUCACAGAGAACCAGUUGGCCGAGGAUGAGCAAGAGCCCGAAGUAGAGGAGGUAGCUGACCCUCUAGACCUUGUCAUCCCUAACAGUGUCGUAGUGAACCUGGAUCCCAAGUAGGAGGGUCCAUGAUAGGGUUAGCUUGGUAGUCCUUUUUUGGAUCUUGACCUCUUGUACAUAACUUUGUAGGGCUAACCUGGUUUGUUUAUAUAAGUGUGUUUAUGAAAUUUGUUGUCCUGCUUUUCUAUCACUUGUUUGUUUGUUGUUUGAAGAUUGUUUAUUUCACUUCCGCAUGUGCAUAAUCGAUUGGGUCGGCGACGCGUCUUGGGAACGUCGCAAAUUAGUCGACCACCGAGGAAUGUGCACGUGAUGAAGGUUCGGGGUGUAAAACCCCUUCACGUUUAGUCUAGUCAUUUGCCUAGUACUAAGCAUAGAAAAUAUUGAGGCCUGGAAAAACUUGAAAUCAGGAUCUCCAGUGCUGAUUUCAUGUGAAAAUUUAGAGGGAUCACUGUCAACAGUUCUAAAAUUUUAAGCUAUUAGAUGAAGGAAUGGUUAUUAUUUGCAUAUUCUAAAACUUUGCUUGCCUGGGAAGCCUAUGCAACCUAACGCCUACUGAGCUGAAAGAGCUUGCUUUGGGCAAAGAGAACAUUUGUUUGGGUUUUAAGGAAGCCAGCUCCAAGAUCUCGAGCGGUGGAUCUCGGAGAAAAAGUACGAGAAGCGAAACAAGGGACGAGGUUUCCUGUUAGGGAGCUGGGCCCUGCAGACGCUCAUCCUGUCGCAACCCCUCGAUAUGCACGGGUCUGACCGCUGACGGGCCCCAUGUUUGGGGACUACUCGUGCAACGAGAUACUGGUGGUGGAGGUGGCGAGGGUCAGGGAAGAGGAUCCGAUGGGGUGGCGCGCAGGGGGGGCGCUGGCGAGGGUGCGGAAGGAGAACGUGAAGGGAGGGCGUGGAGGAGUUGUCGGGCCGUGGCCGAUGAAGGGAAGCAAAGGAGGGGGAGAGUCAAGGAGCCCGUGGCGAAGGCGAAGAAGGCAAUGGGGGUAGGACGGAGCUCGAGUCUCAACUUGGUUGGGCUGGUCCAUGAGAUUCUGCAAUUGCAACAUGUAGUUGAUGGUUCGAGCAAUUAAUUCGUAAUGGCGUAUAUGAUCUGGUUACUAAUAAAUUCCAGACUCUCUCAUAUGCAAAUGUCUUUCGGAAGUCUUCUUUAUGCCUUUCAUCAAAUAUGCCGUAAAUUUAUCACAUCCCUGAUAUUUUGUCAUGGAUGCCUUUUGUAUUCCAUUGAAAUUUAUGCAAAGAGUAGUGAACAUCAUUUGUAUUUCAUACAAGGAGUGCAUUUGAGGUUUUAAAAGUCUCGAGUGUCGACCUUUUAAUAUACUAUGAUGUAAGAUUUAUCGUUUCUUAAAUCAUUUCAUCUCGAUUAUUUCACUUACCGAGCAUUUUCUUCAUAGUCAAAUUGUGGGAGACUUGUGACUACACGUGCCACUUUUGAAUUAUGUGAUAUAGCUCACUUGAUAAGCGACUACGUACACAUCGGUAUAUAUGUCUGGUCAUUUUUCCUAAAGAUCAUCCGGUGAACAUUGAAAAAUGAACGGACUGUACAUACUUUCUCAAAGAAAUUAUAUUUAUCUUUUUGCCCACCUUAUUGUAUCUUCAUUUUCACCUCAUAUGGCUCAUCGGUCAAUUCUUUUGGUGUCAUUGGGUCCCUUUCCUCUUUCAAGAAUCUCCUUCAUUCUUCCACUCCGUUCUAGGAAUUUAUCAAUUUUUCGGGGUCUCAAAGGCGCACAGAAACUGGAAAAGGCAUAGGAAUGACUCAGUCCCAUUAGAAGAGAAUAUGACAAGGUGCACUUUUCCCUUUUGUACGACCACUUGUUAAGAAGAUAAGCGAAGCACCCUACUCUGUUCUCAAAGACAGUUUACAUGUGCUGCAUCAUGGGAUUUUAUUACAUCGUUUGCAACCUACCGUACCAUUAUUCAACUGGCUAACACUAGACAUAAGCUUAUCACCCAAAGACCGUUAUCGAAAGGAAUACUUUCAACUUGCAGCAGCAUCGAUACGUAGAGAUGUCAUCGAUUCAAUACUUCUCUCAGAAUCUGGUUUGUAAAGCUGGAUUUCUCGUCCAUUCAGUGGUUGAAUAGGUCUAGCAUUAUUCCAGGCACCCUGCAAUUCGUAAUCAUCUUUUGAACAUGAGAAAAUUACACACGACAUGUCGUAGCGGUAAUCUUAAUCAGGGAUGUAACCACUAAGGUUUUGAUGGAACAAUGUGGCCGAGAAACUUAGGGCACUUACAUCAUCAACGAGAUGUCUCAGCGACCAGAUUUGUUCCUCUGUGGCACUGCUGGGCUGGUGAACAUUGAACAAGGAAUGGUUAGUUUAGAAAUUACUUACAACAUUAGAAUUUACACUUUCUAAACAUUGCUGAUCUGGUGAAACAUCGACGCCUUCUGCGGUUUACCUGCUUGUUGACGAUCCAUUUGACUCCUUCUGUGCAGGGAGGGGUCGUGAGAGAGCCCAUGUAUCUGUAGUAACUGUGUUCACCCCUGAUGAUCUCUCUUGGGUCGAUCACCCCCACUUCUAUCUCUUCCCCAGCUUCCAUCUCUUCUCCAUGUGUUUCGCACAUUAUACGCCUCAACACCUGCACAUCGUCAAAUUAUGCUUAUUGCCGCAUUCGAUCGAAUACACAUGGAUCGACAUAAAUUGGUCCAACAACAAGAUGUCUGACGCCAAGAAGUGCUUUUCGCUUCUGUUCUGAGGUUUAGAAUUUGGAAACUACAGUAUGUAUGCUGUAAUUCUACCUGUAUACAAGUGACAACAACAGUCCCACCCUGUGUUUUGUUCGCCUUUUGGGGUCAUUCCUCUUACAUGUUUCGUUGUGAUAAAAACUAAAUUUGAUGUAGUAGCUAUUGCGAUUGUAAUGUAAUAAAGCCGCAAGAGUGUCACUAUUUACUUGCUAUAUUGUGAAUUUUAUUAUGCAUACAUAUGAUAUACUAAUAAUAUAUAAAUAUACAACAAAAUAAUGUUAGUUGAUCACAUUAUUGCACGUAAAAAUUGUCAAAUGCACCAUCACAGAAAUAUAAUUGUAAGAUUAUUGUAUUACCAAUAAGAUUAUCUUUAAUGGAGAUUCCCGAAAGAUUGAAGUAAGAAUAUAUUAACCCUUCCAUCGUCUACAACCCUUUCAAAGAAAAUAACUCAUCUUUGUCGUCCACUUCAGUUUAUUCUUCUCAUUAAAAAAAGAAAAGGAAAAACCUUUUCAAUGGCUCAAACUGUAAAUGCAUACAAAACAUAAAAAGUACCCACUGCUUUUAGAUUAAAAAACUACUCGACACCCAAACACUUGAAAAAAUAGCCAAAUUUUAAUACAAAUUUCAUAGCGGCGCGCGCAUUGAUUCUAGUUGUUCUGUAUAAGAAAUUUUUGCAUACCUCGCUAAUAAAAGCAUUUGGUUCGCCUAUCUCGUACAGUAGUCCAACAACAACAGUGUUGCCCGCAACCUCUGCAUCUAAAGUUGAGUGAACCGUGUGAAGCUCCAAUUGAUACCUACACAAAAACAUUUUCCAAUUUCAUCAACAUAUUGAGCCACAAAAUGGGACAAGUGCGCCAGGAAUUCUAAAAUUAAUCACAAAAGUGAAAUCAAAUCAUAAAAAUUACAAAUAUUACAAUCAACCUCCAGAGCUUAUCAAAUUAGUACAAUCAAAUACUUCCAUUAACUCUGUUAAUAUGAGAGGUUGAAAAUACUAACACGACAAUUUUUUUUACAUUGUCUUGAGGACACAAGGUGCUCGUGGUGCCAAGUGUAGAUGCCGGAUGAGGGUAAAAACCAAAAAUAAAAAAUAAAAAAAUAAAAACCAGCCAAAUAAGGAAACUACAUCUUGAGGGGGCUAAUCCUCCAAGUUUUCUUAUAUGCAAUCAAGACCUCUAACUUUUGUAAUUUGUGCAAUCAAAUCCUUCGAUCAACUAUUUUAACUAAAUUAUGAAAUUAAUUAAUGACAUGUGACUUAUGUGACACAAAAUGACACAAGAUGCUAACGCGGCAUCAAGUGAAUAGAAAACAAAUCGGCAAAACAAGGAAAACGAAUCAUAAUUUGACAUUAUUUGUUAUGAUGGGUCAACAAAGCACUCAAUUGCACACAUCAAGAAAGUCAAAUUAUUUGAUUGCACAAAUCCAAAAAUUUAGAGGAUUUAAUUACAAAAAAAAAAAAAAAAGAGUUAGAGGACGGAAUUGCAUAAACCCAGAAAGUUAGAGGACUUAACUACCCAAAAUAAAAGUUAGAAAACCAAAUAGCAAAAAGGAUAAAAACUUUGUGCUUAACCCUUUCUUUUUUCCCCCUAAGGUUAUGCUUACGAAUGUAAUUGUCAUUUUCCCUCAACAAUCAGCUUUUCUAAGAUUGUAAGACCUUCACAGCUGUAACAGCUUAAAGCAGCUUUUAGGAAAUUACAUUCCUUAGCUCUAAGGUGCGGUAACCUUGUUGCAGUGUUACUAUUUUAUAAAGUGAAGUGGCUUGUCAAUUUGGCAAUACUUUUUAAAAUUAUAAUGCCUCAAAGUAGGGUGAAACGCUAUUCUUAAAAUCCCUAUAGCUAUGAAUGCGACGUAGCCGUAAGUA
rnacentral:lncRNA from 1 species